AUGUGCACAUGUACCCUAAAACUUAGAGUAUAAUAAAAAAAAAAAAAAUAAAGCAACAAGAAAUAUAGAGUUGAACACUUUACUUCUAUAAGCAUAUAACUUUUAAAAUUAUAUAUGUAAAACAUGAAGGACUGGAAAACCUAUUGUGGAAAUUACUAGUCCAUGCAAGAAUAUAAAAUUUCAACAGCUUGGGAAUUUACUAGUACUGUGUACAUUCCUGUCAACAUGCCUCAGUUAUGUCAUAGUUUUUAAUUCUACAAGAGUUUUAGAUAGAGAAUUAGUAUUUAUUGAGAACUCUUUUAGCAUAAUAAAUAUUUUAUAAUUCAAUAUAUAAUAAAUACUUCACAUUCAGAAUAUGUAUCUUGGGAAUGAUUGAAUGGCUGGUGAGCAAGGCAACGUCAUGCCAUACAUUUAAAAAUUCCUGUUGUUUCUUCUCAAAACAACUACUCUUUAGUUGGCAUAAAAAUAAUAAGAAUUUUGUUUUAGUAACAAUAUUUUUCACCUUCAGACAUGUGGUUCACAAGAAAAGUGCACAAAAAGAGAUUUGUGAUAUGACAGAAAAAAAUAUUUUAAGAUCUCCUUUUUCUUCCCUGGUAAAAUACAACUUAGUAAAUGUAACAAAUUAAGAAAUACCAGUGAGUUAGAGAACAAUUGGACAAUAAUUGUUUCUAAAUAGAGUCAUUAUGAAAGAAAAUAGUAUGUCGGAGUCCAAAAUCUUAAUUAGUUGAGGAAUAUUUAUAAAUUUAUAGACAAAUUCUCUGUUGUUUGUGUUUUUAGCCUCCCAGAAUUUCUCUUUUUUAAUCAUUAUCAUGAUCUAGUUGUGCCAUAGGCUUUGGUUGAAUUGGAGGAGUAUUUAGAGUGGUCAUCUGAGAUGUCCAGCAUUCAGUGAUGCACGAGGCCUUCAGAAUGAAGAAGGAUUGUAAUAAAGCUCCCAGCAAGCUCGUUUGUGUGCUAUGAAUAGCUCACUAGGUGAAAUACAGCCGAUGCAAAAAGUACGUGGGUGGUUCAGGUGAAUGAAUUGUAUUUUGUAGCUCAUUGGAUUUUUUUCCCCACUCCAAAAACUGCUUUCCCACUGUUCCUUUAACUGCGCCCCUGGAUCGUGAAGUGUUGUGAUGUAGUUCUCUUUUGUGCUCUGGAGUUGGAGCUAUGAAAGGCAGAUUCAUUUAUUGUUUAGUUGAAUCAAAAUGACUGCAAUUCCACAAACAAAUUGGACUUCAGUUAGGAGUGCUUUGUCAUAAAUAACGUUGGAAGAGAUUGGAUUUUCUCCUAGCUGAUAUACUUCUGCUUUACAUUAAAAUCGGCGUCUAAAAGGGACUGAUUUAUGACUGAACUGACUGAUCACUGAGCAACACACACCUGUCCUUGUUCUGCUUUGUUUUUGCUAUCUCUAUUUUCCUAAAGCAUAUUCAGGAAAAGUUUAUGGUAAGGGAAACUAAUAUUCUAUUUUCUGAAUUAUUGUUUUCAUUUUAACCUUCAUUAAAAAAAUCACUUCUAUGAUGCAAAACUCAGUGAAUAAUUCUUCAUAAUCUAGAAAGAAAACCUAUUUCACAUAUUGGUUAAAGGCAUUUUCCAUGGUUGGGUCAGGUGAAUCAUAUUUUUCACGUAUAAUGUUAGGACAUUUUAAACUUUAACAACAUGUUUUGCUACAGGCUGCAAAUACCGUAGCAAUACCUGCAAAUAUCUCUUUUCAUUGACUGUAAAAACUUUUUUUUCCCACUGUAAUGUAUUUACUUCAUUUUGUUUCAAGUUACUCAGUUCUAUAAAUCAUCCAGAGACAGAGAAAAUCUGGUAAUUUCUUCCUUGGUGGAAAAGUGUAUAUAUAAAAUAUAUAUACACACUUUAUACUUAUAUAAUAUAUAUAUACAAUUUAUACUUAUGUAUAAAAGUUACAGCACAAUAUACAUUUGGCUAGACCCUUGGUACUUAACUACAAAUGCCAUAACAAGUUGCAUUUUGUUUUCUUGAGUCAAACAAUUCUGUGUGGCAGUUACAUUGUAUCAGUAAGAAUCAUUUCAUGUGUAGGGUUGUCCUUGCCAAGUAGGUUAGGUUGGCAUUAAUUUUGUUAAGCAUUUUAUUUGGUCUUGUUUUUGUAAGCUCUAGAGCCAGAAUUUGCAUCUGUCUCUGUCUAGUUCCAGAGCAUAUGUAUUUUCAUCUUUGCGUAUUUCUUGUUGUUGUACAAGAAUAAAAUUUUUACAAAGCAAAUCAUACUUUAUGUUCAAUACAUAGAAGACAGUGGUGAAUGUGUUUUUAAAGUGACCUUUUUUGGGUAAAGAUCUAUUUUAACUUCAAAUUAUUUUAUAUUAUAUAUUCCUCAAACGAGUCACAUCCAUAGUGACUUGGAGUGUAUUUUCAGAUGCUUUAAAUAUAUGUAAUCUUAUUGAUAAUAUUCAGAAGCAUUUUAAAUUAAUAGUUUUUUGAAAGUAAGAUUUAAACGUAAAUUAAGCACAAUUGAAACAUAAUACAAUAUUUACCAUUCGAACAGUAACUAAGUUACUGUUAUCUUAAAGGUUUUCCGAGAAGGAUACGGCCAUGACAGUGUAGCAUUUACAUGUGUUCUGAGUGUUCAUUUAUUAUAACUGUACCACCUGUAGUUUUAGAUGCUCUGUGGUUUGCAUUUUAAAAGCAUUUGGUGUUUAUAGCACCUGUCUUUCUAAGACAUGGCCUGACUAGGUCUGAUGUCUAGUGUGAUGUUAAAAAAAUCACAUUAAGUGUGACUUAAGUAUGGGGGUUAGAGUGGGAAUGAAAAUGAAAAUGUUUAAUUUUUCUGACACCAGACUAGUAUGCUUCAGGGAGAAAUUUAGCAAAGGUAAUUGGGCAGACUACCAAUAUAAAUUAGGUCAAUAGCCUAGACCUACAAGUGCUAGCCUUUAUAACAUACUUGACCGCAACAAAAAUCUGUUAAAAGAAAAUGGGACUGUCCCUAACAUGAAGUAAUGGGACUGUCGUAGAUACAACACAUGGUACACUUUUUCCUUUUAAUUACCAUAUGAGAACAAAAUCAGUUUUUGCAGCUGGUUCUUCUUCGUUUUAUUUGCCUUGACUACAUCUCACACCGAAGGGGUUUGAAACAUGACAGACAACAGGUGUGAAUAUGUAUCUAAUAAUUGACUGCAGUUUCUGUUCUUCCUUUAAAAAUUGACUGUGUUGUAAACAUCUCUAACACUAAUAAAGACAGCCUAUUUUUUCUUAUGUGUAAAAUGCCUUCUAAGCCAUGGUUAGAUUGUAUGUCUGAAUCAAACUUAAAUAAGUCAAGUUAUUAAAUUACUCUUUUUAGAAGAACAGUUUUUAAAGGAAUGAUGAGUUUCUGUCAGUUUAAGUGCAGCUGGCAAGCAGCCAUUCAUUAUAGCCUAGUGUGACAUUGAUUUUUGACUAGAAGAAAUGGAAACAUAGCAGUAGCUAUACAUCCUUAAGGAAACAUUCUAUAUUAUUGAUACCCUUUGUUUCCUUAAGAGCUGCUACUAAAACUCUAUUCAAAUUGAAUUUUGAUUGUACAAAUGAGGAAAUCUAUUGUCAAUGUCAAAACAUCCAUUAUUGUGACAAUAAGGUGGUAAUGCCAAAUUAUUACUUUAGCAUCUAUUUCUACCUUAUUCCUUAGGGACAAAAGGUGUUUCCUUAAGGACAAAAAGUGUUUCAUUAUAGAACACCUUUAAAACACUUUUAAAACAAGACCUUUUAAAAAGAACAACAGGAAUUACAAAAUACCACUUAAUUACCUUUAGCAAGAACACUUAGGCUUGCUCAUUGGGCAGAUUAAAUAGUCUAUUGAAACAAAAUCAGUUGAUUUGGCUCAUUUUUCCCCCUACAUUUUUUCCAGUGAUUGCUGCUCUCAUCUUUUUGCCAAAUUGAUCAGAGUUGGCAGUAAAACACAGGCAGUUGAAAAUGUGGGAGAAGAUUAAGUUUUCUGGAUUGCAUAAAGGAUCAUCAGAGAUAAAGAGAUUACAAAGAAUUGGUCUUAUCAGGUUGAUAUUCUGCAUCAUGUGGUUGUCUGUUUUCUAUCAUAAUCAACUAGACCUAAAUUAAGAACCCUUGCCUUUAGAGAGUGUUAUUUUUGUUUUCCAAAUUUUGGUAAAUAUGAUAGAUUGAACCAAGGAGGUGUUUAUAAUUCGUGCACAUUUUAUCUUUGUCUUGUCAUUAAGUAUGAGAGCAUUAAAUUCAAAUUUUAUCGAAAGUUUGUGAAAAUUAACAAUGGUUUGUUGUUAAUUCGUUUGAAUAGACUUUGUUGAAAUUAGGGCCUAGGAGAUGGAAUGCUGGCUUUUGAGGCUUGAUCAUAAAGAAUAUUAUAUGUGACAUAUGUGUAAGGAAAAUAAGAGAAAGAGGUGAUUUCAGGGAAAGUAAAGUAGUAGUUACUCAUAGCGAUAGUUUGGAUAACAAAUUAACUAAUGUUGAACAGGAUGUGGAUUUGAACUCAUUAUUCAAAUUGACAGAGACCUGGAAUUAGUUCAGAUUUACAUAUGAGAAAGAUGGUCUGUUACAACAAAAACAAUGUCCUAUUCAGAGUGGGGCAGAGAUAUUGGAAAGGUUCCUGUUUCUUUGGGAAUGGUUUUCACUAUUGGUGAAAUAGUGAAAGUGAAAGCUACUAUUAUUGCAAUUAUGGCAAGAACAUUACAUACUUUAUCAUUUAAUUUUCAGUAUCAUUCUGAAAGGCAGUUGUUGUUAUGCCUGUCUUACAGUUGUGAAAAUUAGGGUUCAGAGGAUAUAAUGAACUUAUUCAAGGUCAAACAACUACUAAGUGGCAAAAUUGAACUCAAGCUACUCAAGCUAGGUCUGUCUGACUGCAAAACUUUUACUUUUCCACACCCUAUUCCAAAUUAUCAAAAAAUAUUAGAACUAUUUUUCUAUGUAACAAGUGUGUGUUAGAUCAGCUUUCACUUCAGCUUAUGUCAUAACAGCUAUCCUCAUGCAUGGAUAUUUUACCUUUUGAGGGGUCUUUUAUCACUCUAAAACCUUUCUUUUUCAUUAUUUGUGAUUGGGUCUUAAAAGAGAGACAGAAUUAUAUUAAAUUGACCCUGGAAUCUGCUCCUUCCCUUAAUAAAAAAUCCAUCUCUAUAACCUUGUAUUUGAUGCUUUUGUAACUCUCCAAUCUUCCUGGCUUUUAUAAUAUUAACAGUUAGUGAGUGAGUGAUACAUCGUAUUGUCAGUGAAACUUAACAAUAUAUGUAGUAAUUAUUACUAUUGUCUUCACUUUACAGAUAGGGUCAAGUAACUUGCCCAAAGUCAAACAUAAAUAAACUGGUGGAGCCGAGAUUUAAAACCUUACAGGUUCCAUAGGGUGAAUCCUUGGCUUUUCACCUUCUCUACCCUGUAAUACAUCAUCUAUUUCCAGACUUCCAGCCUGUCUUCUUCCUUAUGGUACAGGAUUGUUUUCUGAUUACUCCAACUUUAUGUGUCCUUACUUGGUCUUAUGUUUCCAUAAGCAAUACUAAUGGCAGCCUCAGAAAUUACAGCUUGACAUACCAGAAGACUGACCUUAAUGUUUGAGAAUAGGAUAUAAGACAAUGCAGCUUUGGAGUCCAUCUUCUUCACAUAAGGGCUUUACUUCUAGGCAGCAUAACAUUAAACUUAAUAAAAUAAUAGCCAGCUUAGUGCCAAAUACUAUGUUAGGUGCUCUUUGUGCAUUCUUUUAUUAUUACAGCUACUUUAUUGGAUAGAUACCAUUAUCACCAUUUUACAGAUCAGGAAAGUAAAGCUUAGGGAGCAUAAGUAAUUUAUAGAGGUGUUAUUUAUCUUGAAGGCUAUUUUACUUUAGAGCUCAUGAGCUAAGGUGACUGACCUUGCAUUAUUCUCUGAAUAAAGCCUCUAGAUCUUAAACAGCAGAUUGGACUAAUUGAACCCUCCGAAUGAUGGUAGAAAUUGUCCUAAAGUUUUUUUUUUUAAAGAAACAGAUUAUAUACAUUUAUAAGGUGUAAUUUCUAUGAUUAUAGGUAAAUAUUAUAGUCAUAGUAAUGCUUUAUUUUAAAUUAUUUUUGCUUAAUUUCUUCUAUUUUGUAGUUUUUAAAUCUUGCCUAAAUAUAUGGUUAUUAAAAUUAAUAUUAACCAUUAAUAUUAACAAGGUAAUAUAUAGUUUAUCUUAGUUAUACUAUGUUAAAUAUUGCCAAAAAAUAACUUUUUGAAAGAAACAAAUUAUAAAAUCAUUCUUAUUUAACUUAUUUCAGAUGAAGGUAAAAUACAUGUGAAUAUGGCAUGCUAGUUUGUAAUCUUCCAGUAAAUCAAAACAGGACACAAUACACAAUUUUAUGAAUUAUUCUUAUAGGACAUCAAAUUGAAUUAAUUACUCAGUAUCUAAGGCACAGGAUAGCAUUGUUUUCUUCUUCCUUUUACUGAAUUAUCUUUUCUAAUUUUAAUUAGCUUCAAAGCAAGGAAUUAUGAAUUUAGUAUUUAUUUUGAGCCUUCUAUGUGUGAGACAUUAUAUCUGGGUGUGGAAAUAUUUAUUCCAUCAACUAGGAUAUUUAAGUUUCUUCUUUUGGGUAUUAUUUGUUCUUUUUUGUCCAUUUGAAAAUUAUUAUAUAUUCCGUGUUAUGGAAACGUCACUGUUGUAAGUUCUUACUUUCUAUUCCCAGAGAAUGGCCAUUUAAUUGUAUUAGAAUGUUUCAGCCUAGAUGGGGUUACAGGAACAUGAUUUGCCUUCCUACCAGAAACAAACAAAAAAGACCAGAUACACCGUAUGAAAGGGAGUCUUCAGACAUUAAAUAUCAGACAGUUCAGGACAGUGAUCCUUUAAGAAUGGCAACAAAUGAGGUAAGCCCUUUGAUUGUACCAGCUGAUUGCCUUGAGAGGUUUUUCCAGGGCCCAGCACAGGGAGGAGAACCCAGGUGAAUGUUGGUAGUCUAGGGUUGACGAGACAGAGUUGGGAGUCUGGGGAAGUCCAGGUGGCUAGAGUUUGCAGGACAGAGUACUGACUGGAGAGAAGAUGCACAGAGAGAAAACUAUAUAGAUAUGCAGAAGGUCCUCGUACAGCCCUCAGCUGAGGACCCAUCAGUAUGUGGGGAACCUACAAAAAGCUGGAGAAAUAAUCACCUCAAAAGAACACAGGGAAUAGUUUUCAGAAUUUAUACAGGGCUGGGAAUUAUUCAUGUUCCCAUAUCAGCCAGAGUGGAAAACCUCAUAAUUCACGAAGCAUCAGAUAGAAUAACCAGAAGAAUAUUGCCUAGUAGUGGAGCAUAUUCACCCCUAGAUUAAAGGCUGUGCCAGUUUUGCCUAACAAAGUUUAAAAGCCAACUUCUAUAGGAUUUGCUGUUCCCAAGUAACUUAACUGUUUUCUCAAACAAAGCUCAAGGAUGUUCCUCAGGACACAAGAAUAUGUAGCACCCCAAAAGGUGAAAAUCAUGUUUGGAAGCUAGUAAAAAUAUUACUUUUAAUGCAAAGACACAGGAAACCAUGACACAAAAUGAGGAGAACAUCAAUCAGUUAAAAAAAAACACAAAUGAGAGAAAUAGUAGACAAAGCAUUAAAAUAGUUAUUGUCACAUUUAAUUUGUUCAAAAAAGGAGAGGAAAGAUUGAAGACAUUAAGCACAGAAAUGGAAGAUGUGAAAAAGACUUAAAUCUAUAUUCUAGAGAUGAAUGUUACAGGACCUAAGAUGAAAAAAAUUUGCUGGAUGGAUCUGUGACAGUUUAGUCUACAAAGAAAGAAAUUAAUGAGGUGACAUCAUAACAAUAGAAACUACCCAAAAUGAACCACAGAGAGAAUAAUGGCUAAUUUAAAAAAGAGACAAUCAGUGAACUGUAGGACAAUUUCAAGUGCCUCAGUAUUCAUGUUAUUCAAGUUGCUGAAGAGGAGGAAAGUGGGAGAGUUUUAGACUGAAAUAUUUGAAAAAAUGGUGGGAAAGAAAAUUGAUAAAAACUAUAAACUCAGAAGAAACUAAAAAAACCCCAAGCACAAGAAGAUGAUACAGAGGCAUAUUAUAAUCAAACUAAUACCAGUGAUAAUGAGAAAAUCUUAAAAGAAGGCCAAAAAAAAGAGACGUAUCAGGUACAGAGUAACAAAGAUGGUUAAGAGUCUUUGCUUUGGAAACAGUGCAACACAGAGGCAGUAGAAUAACAUUUUUAAACUAUAGAAAGAGAGAAAUUAUCAAUGUGGAAUUUUUUUUUUUUUUUAGACGGAGUUUCGCUCUUGUUACCCAGGCUGGAAUGCAAUGGCAUGAUCUCAGCUCACCGCGACCUCCACUUCCCAAGUUCAAGCGAUUCUCCUGUCUCAGCCUCCCGAGUAGCGGGGAUUACAGGUGCCCACCACCACGCUCGGCUAAUUUAGUAUUUUUAGUAGAGACUGGGUUUCUCCAUGUUGGUCAGGCUGGCCUUGAACUCCUGACCUCAGGUGAUCUGCCUGCCUCAGCCUCCCAAAGUGCUGGUAUUACAGGCGUGAGCCACUGUCCAAGGCCAUCAAUGUGGAAUUUUAUACCUAGUGAAAAUAUCUUUCAAAAAUAAAGAUGAAAUAAAAACUUGUUUAGAUGAAGUAAAGAUGAAAAAAUUAGUCACUGGCAGACCUGUACUGAAAGAUAUGCUAAAAAAAGUUCUUCAGACAGAAGAAAAAUGUUAUCAGUUAGAAACCUGGACUAUAUAAAGGAAUAAAGAACACUGAAAAUGGUAAUUUUCUCCCCUUACAGACUCUUUUAAAGUUAUUUGACUGUUUAAGUAAAAAAUAAUAAAAAUAUAUUGUGGACUUCGUGACAUAUAUAGAAGUAAAAUUAUAAUAGUAGUAGUGCAAAGGCUGGGAGAGGGGGAAAUGUAAGAAUACUGAUGUAAAUUUCUUAUACUAUAUAUGAUGUGGUAUAAUAUUACCUGAAGACAGUUCAUGAUAAAUUAAAGGUAUAAACUGUGAACCAACCACUAAAACAACAGUUAAAAGAAUUAUAGCUAAUAAGUCAAGAAAGCAGAUAAAGUGGAAUAAUAUAAAAUAUGCAGUUAAUCCAAGGGAGGCAGAAAAAGAGAGAAAAGAGGCUGAGGGCAGAUAAAAGCAGUAGAAAACAAGUAGCAAAAGGGUAGAUUCAAAUCCAAUCAUGAUUGUAUAUAUCCAGGGAAAAAAGAGAUUAUCUCAUAAUGAUAGAAGGGUUAGUUCAUUAAGAAGGCAUAAAACCCAGCAUUUAUGUACCUAAUAACAGCAUCAAAAUACUUGAAGCAAAAUCUGAAAGAACUUCAAGGAGCAAGACACAAAUCCAGUUUUUGUUGGAGAUUUAAAUAUUCCUUCUUAGUAAUUGAUGGACAGAGUAGACAGAAAUAGAUACAGACAUAGAAGACCUGAACAACCCUAUGAAUCUGGUGUAACUGGCAUCUGUAUCAUACAAAGAAUAUUAUCUGAGUUUAAUGAAAUUAAAUUAGGUAUCUAUAACAGAAAGACUUGUAGAAAAUCUCCACAUAUUUGUCAAUUAAAUGACUCUCCUCUAAAUAACCCAUAGGUUAAGAAAGAAAUAAAAGAAGAAUUAAGGAAAUACUGAACUGAACUGAAUGAAAAUGAAAACACAUCAAGAUUUGUGGGAUGUAGCUAAAACAAUACUUAAAGGGAAAUUUAUAGCACCAUUUGUAUUAUAAUGACCAUCCAACUACAUUACUUAAAGUUACUUGUUAAUGGGUUGUCUUUUUGUAUAUUCCAAACAAUUUCUGCUUGUGGGGAGAAAUUUUAGCUACAGAAUAAACAUGAUAUUUACUUUGCGAGAUGGUGCUACAAAACAAUUGAUGUGUAAAAAUUAUAUUCUAUAAUUUUAAUUUUUAAAUUUUUACAUUUGGACUUUCAUUAGACAUUGUUUGGUAAAGGUAUAUAAUCAUUAGACUAUUGUUGGUAAGUUUUUAAGUUAUUUCAUGUAAGUUGAAUGUUGAUUUCAUAAGAAUUAUCUUCUGUUGCUGAGUUCACAUUGUAAGUGCUGGCACUAAAUACCAAUAAGCCAAUAAAAGGCCAAUCUGAUACUAUUCAAACAAAUAUAUACUUACAAAUCUGUACUUCUCAAAUUUAAAAUUCGUAUUUUGGCAAUUAAUAACAUUUACUCCCUGAAUAAAAUAAUUAUUGGUGACUUUUUUUCUUAGUCAAGUUUUUGAAUAACCUUUCUGUGUUACGAUUAUCUUUUUCAUUCAUUUAAUACCAGAAAUCAUCUCAGUGAAAUUAUUAUAUAGUCAGUUUGUCAAUUACCACUGAUUUUAUAUGACUAUUUCCUCAAAUUCUGAUUUCCUUUUAAAUGUUAGAGAGUAUUUUGAACCUUACAUUAUUACAAAAAGCAAUUUGAGGUCUUUAUUUCAGGGAGUGAAAUGUGACAUUUUAAAAAUGAGAUCACAUUUAUUUAUAUACAAAAAGUAUUUAACCAUCAAUUAUAUAAGGCCAUUUUUACUAAUAAACUAUUAUUUUAGAGAUUGUAUUUAUUAAUCAUGCUGUAAAGGGAUUACUCAUUUUAAAAAGUGGCUAACUUAUGUGCAUGCAUUGAAUGUAAUCUACGUUCAUUGGAUAAAGUGUACAUUCAUCUAGCAGACAUUUAUUGAGCAUCUAAGAUGAGUUAGGUUCAGUGUUUUCACUGGGAAUAUGGAGGAAUUCUGACCUGAAGCAGUUUAUAGUCUAGUAGGGGUAGGUGGUAGCCUGGCAAAGCAGAAAUUGCAAUACAGUGAGAUCGAAGCAAGAUGCAUUGGGAGUACAUCGUACCAGUAUUAAUGCUGCCUGAGGAGGAAGGUAACUCCUUUCCAGAGGAGCUGACUCUGAGAAGGGGAUUGCAGACACAGAGAAUGGGUAAAUGUUCAGAAUUGUUGGCUUACAGUGUGUAUGAAUUAGAAUGGUAGGUGGGGAGGUAAAGGUAGCAGAGAUAAGCUAUAGGGUUAAUAUUUAUCUUGUAAACAAGGAGAAACUGUAGAGUGAAUGAUCUAAUCACAUUUUCAUUUUAAUACUGUCAUUCUGAAAACAUCCUAUGCGAUGGAAUGGAGAAGGAAGUGAUGACUCAGAGUGUGAAGAGUGAAGAGUUCUUAGUAUUUGUUAUUGGUUAAUUCUCUUUUGAUUUCAGGGGUCAAAAAUCUAAUGUAACUUGGGCUAACAAAAAAGAAGUUAACAAAAGAAUUUAUUGGUUCAGAAAAUUGAAAAUUUCCAUGUCAGAUCUAGCUAACCUCAGGACUGGCCUUUGCAGUCCAUCUGUGGUAUCUGUGUUGUGUUACAGAGUUGGGUUCAUUGCAGGUUAUGACUCCUGAGUUCACACAUACCUAAAUGUUUUUCUUAAAAAAAAAAAAAAAACCCUCCAAAAUGAAUCAAUAUAGUGAACUAAUUAUUAAUGUCUGUGUGAUUUGUGGGCUAUUUUUAUUGGUGUUUGUGAAUUCUUUAUUCUCCUAAUUGAAUAUUCUUCAUUCUAUACAUGAGUCUAAGCUGCUUCUGGGAGAAUAUUAUAAAUUUUUUGGGAAAAAUUCUAUAUCCUGACUUUUCUUUAAAGUUCAUAAAAACAAUAAUUGUGUUGAAGAAUCAUAUGUAAAUUCAUGUGACUUUUCUACACUUAAAAUUGUGGAGAAAAUACAGAAAUACUAAAUAUUUAUUAAUCUAGUACACAUUUAUUAAACAUUUCUUUUAAAUUAUGAGUGAUACUAAGUCUCUAUGUAUGAAAGUAAUUUUGUUUAAUAGGGCUUUUAUACUUGAGAACUCCUUUCCUGUUUUCCAGUUUGAAUUGUCUUAAGAUUCAGAUUGACUUCCUAGAUAGUGCACUGAAAUUUGGCGGUGAUUUUUAUAGAAAAAAAUUAUUAUACUUGACAGUUGUAUCAUAUGAUAUUCCCUGAGAAAAUCUCAGAAGAGUGUUUCAGUUAUAUUCGAAUUGCCUACACUUAUAGAGUUUUUUAUGAAGAUUAUAAUACAUAUUUAUUCAUAGUUCUCUGACUUUAUGUUACUUCAGUACUCAGUCAUCAUUUAUUCAUUCACUUUCAGUCAAAAAAUAUUUACUAAGCCCCUAACAUAUGUGUUGCUCUUGGUAGAUAAAAUAGUCAUGAAUAUUUUAUCUCAUGGGAUUUACAUUGUGAAAGACAGAGUAAACAAAUAAACACACUAAGUUGACAACUGGUAUGAGAGGGGAAAAAAAACCAGGCAGCAACCUACUUUAGAAUGAGCAAGCAGGGAGGACCUCAUUGGAGAAGUAACAUUAAGCUGAGAUCCGGUGCGUGAUUAGGAAUUAUUUUUUCUUGUUAAGAUUUGGGAGAAAGUCUAGGUAAAUACCUUUAGUGGGGAUAGAGCUUGCCUUUUUGGGAAAAUCAAAGAAGACCUGUGGCUGUUAAGAGUGAAGGCUACAGUUGUGCAAGAUGGGGUUUUGAUAUUAUGAUUUUCAUUUCAUAAAAAGUAUUAAGUUUGUUAAGCACUAAUGCAUUAAUUGUAGUAGCAGCAAAUAGAUGAUGGUGUAAAAUAUCAUAAUAAUUUACCUCCUGCAUUUGAGAAAUGGAGACAGAUCCAUGUUUCACUUUCUUGUCAGUUGUUAAGUACUUGCAAAGGCAGAUAGAUUAAGUAAUCUGAUUGCUGAUAGGACAUCUGAAAAUUUAUUGGUUUCAGUAUUAUAAAAGCUUUCUUUUUGUUUAUAUGUACACACACACACACACACACACACACACACAGCCACUACUUAUUUACCUACAUCAUAGGGCUUCUGUACAUUUUGUUGCCUUUGUCAGAUGUCACUCCCUUCCCAUUAAUUUGCACCCAUUCAUUAGUUAUCAAUUCCAGCAUUUCUUCUUCAAAGAAGUUUUUCAUCAUCCACCUUCCUCAGUAACCCUAAGCCUAAGACAUGUACCUUUGUUACAAAUAUUCCCAUAUCUGUGCUUCCUUUCUUUAGAUCAUAUCUCAGUUUGUAAUUGCACACUCAUUAGUGUUUGAUUACUGUUUCUUGCUCUCAUACACUCUCAGUAAACUGAAAGCUCCAUGAGAGCAGCUUUCAGUUUAAAAUCUGCAUAGCUUGGCACUGAGCCUGCCACCUGUAUGGUAGUCAAUAAAUAUUUGGUGGAAAAAUAUUUGGUGGAAUGAAUAAAUAAAUGUAUACCACCACCUAAGCCUAAAGUUUUCUAUCAGACAAAGCUGACAUUUUCCCAUGUUUAUUUUCUUUCAGGAUAAACUAUGGGAUUUGAUUAUUUAAAGUUUUUUUGAAAUUACACAUAAAACACUUUUAUGAACAUAGUAACUGUCUUAAAAUUAGGAGUAAACUAAGUAUUUCAUCUUGUUGCACUUCUUUCUGCAUUUCUUCCCUUUUGAAUCUCUUUAUUCCUCAAAUUCCUGUGUGAUCUAAAGUAUGGAAGACCUUGCUAGUGUUUGAAUUGGUAUCAGACCUCAGUAAAUACUUGUGAAGUGAAGAAAUGAAUUAUUUACAAGACAAGAAGCUGUUCUUCACAUUAAUUAAAUUGGCUGUAAGAAUGACCCAGCAAUGAAGAAUGCUGAGCACUAACUUCCCCAUUUUCAUGAUUAAAACAAAUGCCCUAGGCACGCAUUUCUUUUUCUAUGCCAUCAUAACAAAUAAAGACCCUGUCACCCCAGCAACUCAUUAUUGUUUGUUUUCUAUUUGGUGAAAUCCGAAGAGAUCUUCUGUGGUUAUAGUUGGGAAUUUAUCAAAGCUUGCAAAUCCCUGUUGUUCCAUAAAGCUGAAAAUAAACCAUAUGCUAGCCCAUACCACACUGUCCAGGGUCUUUUUUGGAAUUACAUUUAAGAGCUGAGAAAAUGUAACACAGAGAUUUUUACCAAAGCUUACAUAAUCUUCCGUUCUUUACACUUGGGCUUUUUUCUGAGCAUUUCUCCAAUGUAACAUUCCCACAUAUUUGGGCAGAGUUUAGAAUCAUUUUCCAACUAAGUGAAAAAAUGAUUCUAAUUGAACUUUAUCAAACAUUUGCCUCUGAAAUGGAAAAGUGUGGUGUGUACUAAUGAUAUGAAUUAUUUUAAUAUAUACGAUAAUUCCUUUUCUCUUUUAGUCAAAUGUCCUGGAAAUUCUUCACUAAAUCUAAUUUUAUCCAUUGUUGAGGUUUCUCCCAAUGGUAAGUUAAGCACUUAAACCACACAAUCACUUAAACCACACAAUCAACCCUAGAAAGAUGGAAGGAGACGGUGGGAAUGUGAGUAGGGUGAGUUGGUGUGGCAACCUUUGGAACCACUUUAGCACAUUCCACAGUACUUUUCCUAUCAGAAACCAGGGAUAAUUUCAACCCUAAGGAAAAGCAAUUACCUUGAUCACCUGAUUGUGAUUUGCAUACCUGAAACUGAUAAAAUCAUUUCACAUACUUUUAUCAUGUAUCAUGAUACAGAUUGUAUCAAUGGAUACAUACGUAUCACUUACUAUCCUAAGUUUCUGUUUCAUGGUCAGGAUACAUUAAAUACUCUCGGUAUUUCCUUUCAAAGGGAAAUUGAGGGUUAUUAAAUCAGUAGUUUUAAAAAAGUAUUAUAAAAAUAUUAAGAAUUAAUUUGUGUUUCUAUUUGAUUAUAUCUGUCAUCAGUGUGGAAAGAAGUUACUUUGUAAUAAAGGCAACCGCGUAGAACUGGAUGUUUUGUAAACUGUUAGUGUGUUGGUAAAUUGUUGGUAUGUAAAAUCCGGGUUGAGUAUGACAUUAAUAGUAAGUGGUUAAAAAAACUAGCAAUUCUGAGGUUUCGGGCUGAUACACACACACACACACACACACACACACACACACACACACGCAUUGCUAGUGUUUAUUGAAUUACCUCUUUGCACCAUGUUUAACUGUUACUUCUUGGUCAUUUUUGAAAGGUAUAAAUUAUUUUACCUUUGUUUUUACAUAUAUCCAUUAAUUUUUUUUUAUAACAUUGUAAAAUACCUUUCACCUAAGAUGGUGGGGACCCUUUGUUAACUCCAAGAAGAUGGAUAGCCAUAGGAUAUGCUAUAUUUAAAUGUAGUUCUUCUGCAAAUAACUAUAGAAUAUUUAUGCAUUUUUGACAAAGUUUCAGAGGCAUAAAUGCUGCCAUUGCCCAAUAGAGGAAAUUUCAUACAAAACUCACCAAACUUUAUGUAUGGUCAGUUUCUCGGAAUGGAUACUUCUGCAGACUAGUUCCCCAGUCUUCUUGCACUUCUAACACACACUUGAGAGAUGGGACCUGUGGGUCUGUACUGGUCUUGGCCAUCUGGUCUCAAGGACCAUCAGGAAGCUGUCUUGGUUCUUGUGCUUAGAACUCAGUGUUUCCUGGCUUUUGGGAGGUAUUUCCAGAUUUGACACCUUUGAUUUUUUUUAAUAAAAGUUUUUCUUUUUGAGUCUCAUUUUUUUUUAAUGAGAACCUAUUCAUCUCCUAAUACAAAUUGAUAGAAAUAGACUUGACUUUAUCAAGUUAAGUACUUGAGCCAGACACAUGUUGUAUUCCAGCCUGUGUUCCAAGUGCUCCUGUCCCCACCUUGACAGCCUUUCAGGUUUGUGGCUUUUAUUUAUAUGCUAUUGUCUUGUGGUUAGUACCUUUUCUUGAAUAUAGAGGAGUAGAAUUAUUUUGUGUUUCAGAAAUGUUUGUUUUAAACAUGAACAUAAACGUAUUUCAACAGCAGAUAAUCUCUUAAUGAGGGAAUUCUUGGUUGGCCCAUCUGAAGUCAAUCCUGACAUUAUUUCUGAUAGAUUUCUGUGGCCUAUGGCUAGGUUUCAAUGGAAUCGGUUCUGAAAUCACUACAUGCUGUCGAAAUCAAAACUUGUCAUAUUAGGUUCUGUAACAAAUACAACUAAUGAGACAACAGAUUAAUAGUAGAAGUGGUUUUUGAAAUAUCAUUCCAAGGUAUUGAUUUACUCAAAAUGUUAUAAAUACCACUCUGGAUUAACUUUAAAAUGGGUUACUAUGUGAUAUAUAUAUUUUUUGUAGAUGCCAGAAUUCUGUUUCUAGGAAUUCUUUAUUGAUAAAAUGUUAAAUGUUGAAAGAUAGUACAUUUGACCAACAUACUUUUGACAAACAUUCUGAGCAUUAGAUGUUUAUUGUGUGGUUGCCAUAUUAGGAGUGGUUUAUUUCUGGCUUAUGCAGAGUAUGGGAGUAGCUUUAUUAAGUGUUUCUCCUCAGUUUUUGUCUUUAUAGGCUCUGAAUUUUGUAGACACAUUUAUUUCUUGGGAUUCCUUUUCAACAUUGUCCUUUGGGACUGGCAAAGGCAGUUUUAGAUAGAUCUGGUUUCAUAUGGAACUGCUUCCUGUGACUAGUGUUUUCUCUUGGGUGCUGUAAAAAUAACUAAUCCUUAUAGUCGAAGCUUAAAAGAAAACAGGGAGAUAUCCUAUAAUAUAUUCUACUUCCAUCUUUCCUUAUUGAUUUCUGGGAACAUGUAUUGAUUGGAAGAAGAAGUUUGGGAAUCUCUUAAAGUAAUACUUCGGGUAGCAAAUGAAAUAUAGAAAAUGGAGAAGGAGAUAAAAAAGUAGUGGUAAUGGAAGAAUGCAGAAUAGUGUGAGAAAUGUGUGUGGGUGUAAAUGGAGCACUGUAUGGCUGUUUGCAAGGUGAAACCAGGUGGUGGUGUGUGGCAAGUGCAGCAUUCUGUGCUACCAAUGCCAGAGAAUGAUAUCUGGAACCAUUGAAAGCCCCUUACGCAGCUUCAACCCACCCCUUCUUAUUCACCUGAGCAAUUUAUUUGUUUUCAUUCUUUCUCUUAUCCAUUGCCUUCUUUCUUUAUCUUGUUUCCUCCUAUUUCAUCAGGGAUAUGAAUCCACCAAUCACUUCCCCUUUUUACUGGCAUUUCCAGUCUUGUCUUCUCCACUGAUUAUUAUCUUGAACAAUAAAUUUGCUCAUGUAUUUUCUAUGUAGCUCUCUCCAUUCUGUCCCUUCGUAUUAUUGCUAUAUUACUUCCAUUUCCUUCUAGUCAGUUUACCAAAAAGCAUGUUACAAUUAUUGUAGACUCAAAGAUACUGUACCUGAUAAUGCCCUUUUUGGGGAAAUGAAUCAAAGAUCAUAAUCAACACUUUGUUUUUGUUGUUAUUGUUGCCAGAGUUAAAAUUUAUUUCUUAUUUCACUUCACAAUUAGCUAUAAUUAUGUUGCUAUAAAGAGAAAUUUUACAUUGUCUCCCCCAUUACUGUGGUAGUUGAAUUGAUCAUCAUUUAGCAGAAAAUCAAAGAGCGCAAUGAUCAAGCAGUAGAAUGACCUGUUGCUAGCUCUCAGAGGUUUAAUUCCCCAGAAGCAGACAUUGAGAUGAGGAUUUGUUUGCAAGUAAUUUAUUAAGAAAGUGAGAAACAGCCAGGCAUGGUGGCUCACAUCUGUAAUCCUGGUACUUUGGGAGGCUGAGGCAGGAGGAUCGCUUGAGCCAGAAGUUCAAGACCAGCGUGGGCAACAUAGUGAGACCUUGUCUGUAAAAUAAAAAAAUAAAAUAGUAAAAUAAAAUGUAGCUGGGCAUGGUGGCACAUGGCUGUAGUCCAAGCUACCGAGGAGGCUGAGAAAGGAGGAUUGGUUGAAUCUGGGAGGUCGAGACUGCAGUGAGCCGUGAUUGUGCCAUACUUCAGCCUCGGUAACAGAGCAAGACCCUGUCUCAGAAAACAAAACAAAACAAAAAAAGGAGUAAUCAAUUAGGGAGUGACAGAAUGGGAAAAAAAGGGAAUGGGGAAGAAGAGGUAUGAUUUUAGGCAAAGUCUUUUCAAGGAUAGCUUUAGUCUAAACCUUCAUGAGAGCUCUGGAGUAUGAAUUAUUUGUCUGUUCAAACCCAAAUUAAAUGAGGUAGAUGUUCAUACUUCCAUCCCUACCAGCCACUGCCUAAGGAUGAUAAAGGGGUACAGGAGGGGAGAUGCUUAUCCCCAGUUAGGGGGAUAUAUAAAGUGACUAUAGUAGCCUGAGGGCAUAAGAACACUUAACAAGUCUUAUCUUUUGGAAGCAAAAUCACACUGAAACAACAUGCAAGUCAGAAUAUGUAUUGUAAUGUGCACAAGUCUUCUUAAGGAACCAUGUGAUGGAAUUGGAUAAUUUACUUUGCACUCCAUCACUCCACUUAACCACCCAUUCUUUUUUUUUUUUUUUUUUGGCUCUAUCUCACCAUUUUGACUGGAAAAGGGAUGAGUAUUUUAUAGCACUUUUGAUGGAUAAUUGUGACAUUCUUCUUUGAUAUUAUAUUGAUAUUAUACCAAAACUCAAUAAGUAGUACUUUCCUAUAGACUAUUUACAGUGUGGAAUCUGAUGCCAUAUCAAUGAACUUUUUGUAUUUUCUCACUCCAAAAUCCAUUGGUUUAUCUUGCACCUUGAAUAAAUCUUUUACCCAUGCAUGUAUUGGUCAUUUGGAAAAUAUAGAUUCAUUGGGUUAUAUAUCUUCCAAAUGUUUAUGCAUUUUAUUAUACAGCAUAAACAAAUCCCAUUUAUUAAUAUUACUACUGCUGCAUCAGAAAAGUCAUGAUAUUAGUAAGCUCUUACAGUGGCAAUAUAAGGCUUUCUUAUAACUGUCACAGUGACAGAUGUAAGUUUUUCAAACUUCUACUUUUUGCUUGAAAGCUUUAAUGUUAUCAUUGGUAAUGAAUACUGUCAGUUGUUUUCCUUGAAGUGACAGAUUAACUUUGUCCAUUUUUGUGAAAAUGUCUGCCAAAAAUCCAAGUCUAAAUAAUAAUAGCUUAUCUGUCAGUUGUCCCUUUAAGUAAAAAGUGUUUGGUGGAAAAAAGUGGCUAGUUCAGCUUGCAACGGAAACAACCAGGAGUGCUGUUCCUUAAACAACCAUUGUACUCUAGUUGCAGUGAGUGCUUUAUGUGUAUUUGCCAUUUCACCACACAGAAUAAUAAAACACAUUUAAUUUGAGAUAUAAUGGAACUAAGAUUUUUACUCCUUCAUCGAAGACAUUCUUAAAUAAAACAGACUUUGCUUGCUUUAAUGACAGUGCAUGGCAGUGAAGAGUACAAUGACUCAGUAAAGUUUGGUGCCAAGGCUUUGAUUUAUGCUAAGCUGCUAGCAGUUCUCCCACCAGUGCUUUCAUAUCAUCUGUGAAAAUAUUAACAUAUCAAAAAGGGUAAAUAACAUUUUAAUAUCAUUAUGAAAAUAAUUUUGCCCUCAUGAACUCCUGAAAGGUUCUCAUGGAUCUCAGGAGUCCAUUGAGUUCACUUUAAGAGCCACUGCUUUAAAGAAAACAGCAACACACAGUAUUCUGCAUCUUGUCACCCUCUGUCACCAAGUAUCUACCUUAGUCUUUGCACACAAAUUGCAAUCAUCAUUUAGUUUACUACUUGAGUAAUUUUGGAAGAUGGUAUUUAAAACACCUUUCUUCAACUUCCUUAGAUACUUCUACUUUUAACAGGGUUCCUCUCUAAAAUGUCAUUAGCAGGUGUUUAUAUUUUCAUGGAAAUUUUCCUGUGACAGAUAGACUCACACAUGUACAAACCAUCAUUUGCUGAGGCCAUUAAGUUAAUUUUCCUUAAUCUAUUUGUUUCAAAGAAUUUUAGUAUAUUCAUUUUACCAGUAUACUCUUUAGUUCUGAAAGGGUCAGAAUAAUGACAUUCUCACUUGUGGUUCUGAAAUGCAUUUCAGUUCACAAAGCACUUCCUCAUGCAUCAUCUCUUUUGGCCAUCACACCAGUCCUGUGAGAUUUGCAGGGCAGUGUCAUUAUCUCCACGAGUAAACCCAGGUUGAGAGAGGGGGAAGUGGGUUGCCUAAGGUCUAAGGCCACACAGUGAGUGGCAGAACAGAAUUGAGAUGCUCUGUUUUCUAUAUUCAGUUUCCUCUUGUGUAUAGUGUUCUUUCUUUUCUUGUAACAAUUUAAAAGGCAUUCCAUAUUUUUUCCCUAGUCUAUGUAGCUGGUUUCUCUUAUCAUUUCAUAUCAUAAGAUGCCUGCACAGGCUGUUGACUUAGAUAAAAAUAUUGUGUAACUGAAGAAAUGGAAGCUACACAUAGGAGCUAUGGUCUCAGCGAAGGCCUGAUACUGCUCACAAUUCUGUUGUAACCAUGAAGGUUACUUUCUUUUAAACUUAAUAAAUAUCAGCCAACCCAGGUAUGAAAUUUUCAGCUGCAAGAAGAACUGCAGGAAACAGUUAAAUAUACCCUAUAGCCAAUAUAAGGCAAAACAAUACAGAGAAUGGAGAUUUGCUGGGUAAUUAAGCAUGUUACAAAGUAGACUGACUAAUCUAUAAUCAUAUGCUAGGAUUAGUAAUACAAAAGGCUGACAUACGUGGUGUGAAUUAAUGAAAAAGGGUUUUGAAGAGUUUACAAUAGCAAAGAUGGUUGCAUAUUAUAACAAUUAAUUAAACAUUAUUUUAUUUCUUUGUGGUAUUCCUUUCUGGCCAAGAGGAUUGAACACUUCCUAGAGUUCAUUGUGCUUAAUUAGACUUUAAAAAAUAAUUUUUCUUAAUUUGUUAGAAAAUAUUUUUAAAACACUGCAAAUGAUAGAGAAUAAUAACAUAUAUCCAUGUUUGCAGCAUCCAGUUUUAUCGUAUUUUAACAUUUUUCUAGCUCUGCCUUUCUUAAAGAAAAAAUAUUACAAAAAUAAUUAAAACUUACUGUAUACCUUGUCGUGAGGCUGUGUCCAUCACUACCAAGAGUUAAUUAUCAUUCUGAAUUUACUGAUCAUUUUUCCAUAAUGCAUAUUUUUAUAUUUUGAUACAUAUAUUUGUAUUGAUAAAUAUAUAUAGUGUUUUUCAUGUUUUAAUAGUGUAUAAAAUUUGGUAUCAUUCUAUGUCAUUUUGCAACAGUUUUUUUCUUCAAUGUUGCUUUUGAGAUCAUUCAUAUUUAUAUAUGUAACUCUGAUGUAGGUAUACAAUGUGUAGUAUUUUUUAGUGAGUAUGCCAUAAUUCAUGUAUCUGUUGUACUAUUGAUGGCUGUGUAGGUUCUUUUCAAUUCUUGCUAUAUGUACCGAUAUCAGGACAUUGUUAUGUAUACUUCCCUAUCCACAUGGACAACAGAUUUUUUAGGGCAUAUAACUAGAAGUGGAAUUGCCAGGUCUUUGGUAUACAUUUCUUUAAUUUACUAAAUAUUGUCAGCUUAUUUUCAAAAGUAGUUUUGCUAUUUUAUACACUUAUACAUUCCUUACUCACUGACGUUCUUAUAUAAGAAUGUUUCAUUUUCAGCUCACCUCAUAAAACUUGGUAUUGUUCGAUUGUAAAUUUUAAUAUAUCCAAAUAUCAUCUCCUUGAAGUUUUAUUGCACAUCUCCCUGAUUACUACUGAGGCUGAACAUCUUUUCAUAUGCAUAUUGACUAUUUUCCCUCUGUGAAAUGUUUGUUUCUAUCCUACUCAUUUUUCUUUUUGGUCAUUAAGCUUUAAAAAAAAAAUACUGUUGAUGUGUAGGUGUCCUUUUAUAUUCUGGAUAAUAAUCAUCUGUUUGUCAUAAGUCUUGAAAAUAUCUCGUCUGUGGCUUAUCUUAAUUUUGCUCAUGUGUUUUUUUUGUACAAAAAUUUUAAUUUCUAUGUGGCAGAGUUUUUUUGUUUUGUUAGGCAUAGGUAUUUUUCUUGUUUAGGAAUUUUCUUACUCUUGUGUUAUAAAGAUAUAUUUUUCUAUAUUUUACUUUUCACAUUAGGUCUAAUCAAUCAGGAAUUGAGGUAGGAUUACAGAUCAGGAAUUAGAGGCGGCAUUAUACCUCUAAUAUAUCUACACAUCUUGCUUUUCACAGUUAGGUCUUACCUGUCAGAAAUUGAGGUGGCAUUAUAAUCAGGAAUUAGUGGUGGCAUUAUACAUCGGUGGGGGAAGACAAGAAAAAAGUAAAUCCCCAUUUACUUUGUAAUUAGUCUUGGGUAGGGAUUUACUUUUCCCCCAUCAUCCCCCUGCUGACUGUGAUGCCAUCUCUUUGAUAUUUCAUGUCCAUGCUGGCAUGGAUCUGUUUCUCUGCUCUUUGUUCUGUCGUUUUAGUCUAGCUGCGUGUCUUUGGCCUAAUGCUAUGCUAUUCUAAUAAUGAUAGUUUCAGUAUCUGGCAGGAGACGUUUUUCUACCUUGUACUAUCUUUUCAUAGUUAUCAUUGUUAUUCUUGGCUCUUUGGCCUUAUAUAUGAAUUUCAAGAUUACACUAUCAACUUCUAUGAAAAACUCUAUGGAAUGACUUCAAAUUGAUCUAUUAAUUGCCACAAAUUUGCUGUAUUUAUAUUUUUUUCCCACAUGUGAACAUGGAAUUACUUUUCAUUACAUAGAGCUAAGGUUUUAUAAUUUUCCCCGUAAUGUGAUUAUACACAUUUUCCCCUGUGUACCGUAUGUUUUUAUUGUUGCUAGUGUGUAUAGGCUCACGUUAUCUCUCUCUCUCUUGCUCUCUCUCUCUCUGUUUCAGUAUUGAAAUGCUUGUUACUUGUCUAUAGGAAGUCUGUAGUUUUUGUUUGCUAGUCUUAAAACAAGCUACUUUUGAAAUCUUCUAAUAAUUUGCUACAGAAUCCAUUAAAAUUUUCUAUUUUGGCAGUCAUAACGUACAGAUAUGGGUAAUGCUUUCUAAUACAUAUUUUUAAAAUUUUUCAAGUAGUCUUGUGAUAUUGACUAUUAUCUCUAGAGCAGUAUGAGAGAAGCAGCGGAAUAGAUAUAUAUCUUUUUGUUUUUAUGUUAAUGGUAAUGUGACUAAAAUUUUAGUUUGUGAUAUAUGCUGUAAGCUCUUAAGAGAUACUCUACAUUACUCUGUAUUUGGGUAGAGAUGCUUCCUUUACUCCUUGUUUGUGAAGGUGUGGUGGUUAAUUUUAUGUGUCAACUUGACUAGGCAACAGGAUGCUCAGAUAUCUGGUUAAACAUUAUUUUAGGUUGUUUCUGUGAAGGUGUUUCUCGAAGAGAUUAGCGUUUAAAAUGGUGAACUCAGUAAGCAAAUGGCCCUUUCCAAUGUGGGUGGACAUCAUCCAAUCUAUUGAGGGCCUGAAUAGAACAAAAAGAUGGAGGAAAGCUGAGUUCAUUCUCUGCCUAACCGUUGAACUGUAGCACUCAUCUCUUGCCCUCGGUUCCCCUGGUUCUCAGGCCUUCAGACUCAUACUGGAAUCUAUACCAUUGGCUCUCUGGUUCUCAGGUCUUCAGACUACAUCACUGUCUUUCCUGAGGCUCCAGCUUUCAGUUGGAAAAUUAUGGGACUUUACUUCCAUGAUCACUUGAGCCUAUACCUUACAGUAAAUAUAUGUGUGUGUAUAUCUAUCAGUCUCUGUCUGUCUUCUCUCUCUCUCCCUCUGUAUCCAUCCAUCCAUCCAUCCAUCCAUCCAUCCAUCCAUCCAUCCAUCAUGUUUCUCUGGAGAAGCCUGAGUAAUACAGAAAACUUUUUAUCUCAAAUGAAUAUUUAAUUUAACAAUUAUUUUUCUUGCAUUUAAUAUAAUAAAUUUUCUGAUAUUAAACCAUCUUUUAAAUCUGCAAUUAAAUCUAGCUUUUAUGCCUCCAAAUCUUUUAAAGAAAUUUAUUUUACAUAUUCAGAAACACCAUCUGAUUUGUUUUAAAAUCUGAACUUGCUUUAUAGGAUUUAUUUUUUUGUCUGGUAACCAAACAAUGUUUUAUUCUUCAUCUUUUAUAUCGUAUAAUACCUAUAAAAUAUUUUACUUUAUAAUACAUGUAAAGGAAUUAUAAGUAGAAGCUCAGCUCUGACUUUGAAACUGAUUUCAUUUUUUUCCUUUGUGAGCCUAUGCUGUUUUAAUAUGGUGGGAAUAGGGUGUGGUAAGUGGUUUGUUCUUUAACAGUACCUGGAAAAAUGUAAUAUUAGGUUUCAAAUGGCAAACAUUGCAAUUACUUUUGCACUAACCUAGUAGAUAAGUGACAUAAUUCUAUAGUGGAGCUUGGAGAAAUAGUGUGAGCAUAAAUUCGUAGUCUGAGAAUUAGGUUCCAAAUUUAUUUUGUGAAAUUUCUUUUUCCACUAGCUACUUAUUGGCUUCUGAUAAAAGAAGUUAAAAUAAUAUUCCCAUUGCUUGAAUCAUUCUAUCACUACUCUAAGAUCACUUUCUUGCUUAUGGAUACCUCAUUUACUUCCAUUAAUUUAUUGAAAAAGCUUUUCAGAUUAAACACAAUAGAAACAGGUUAACAAAGGUAAAAAAACAUGAUUAAUUUCUUGUUUUAUAGACCAAAAAAAUUAGUGGUACUGUUUAAUUAUUGCAGUUGAAUUUGAUUCAACCAAACAGUGAUUUGAGAUCAUAGAAUACUGACAGCUAAGGCAAAAAGACAGCCAUAUUAAAUUAGAUGUGAUUUCAUUAUUUCAUAAGAUAAUGCAUCCUAAGAAAUCAUAAUAAAAUAUGUAAGCAAAAAUAGAGACUCACUUAAUUUGAAUAAUAUGUGAAUUAAUUUUAUGAUAUCAUUAGAGCUAAUUUUUAUGUUUAGCUAGCCCUGUUUACUUAAAAUUUAUCCACUGGCAAAUACAAUAGCUCAAACCAAUGCAGAAAUAUUAAUACCUGCAUUAUUUGUUUAAAAUUUAGGGUCCUAGGCCUUAUUUCCAGAGAUUCUGGUUUAUUAGGUCUUGGGAACAGUCUGAACAUCAGCAUAUUGAUCAUCACAGGUGGUCUUAGGAUUACACUUUUAGAAAUAGUGCCUCAAACAAAGAAAAAAAGUUAUGACUUUACUGUAUUUGGGUCAUUAUUCUAGAUUUCAAAAAGAGGCUUUUAAAAUUUUUUAGUAAUUUGGCAUUUCAAAGUAGAGUAAGUUAGAAAUUUCCAUGUAAAAAUAACUUGUGAUGGUUAACAGCUAAACAGCUAAACCCAAAUAGUAUAACAUACAUCAAUAGUUGAUUUUGUUAGCCACGUAGUCUUUUUCUUUCUAGCUUAAUACCUCUAUUUCAUGCCCUGUUUUCACUCCUUCACAAGUUUUAGUGGCUCAACAUAGAUGAAUUUUGAUCUUGUAUAGAUAUUCUAAGUUGUGGAUGUAUUUGUUAUUUCAUAUUUUAAGCAGAACUCUGGGAUUUUAAGAAAAGUAUUUAUUAUUUUGUAUUAGAAGAGGCAGGCCCUUGAUUUUCAAGAUUUAUUAUACUUUUGUAAUAACUGGCUGUAGUCAGGGGCUCAGAUAUCAGAACUGUUCAUGGGGAAAGUAAUUUCCACUGAUGUCAUUUCUAACCAAGUGAGUGACAUUGAUGUACGUAGCCCUGGCCUAUAACUGGUCAGCCUGAAAUAAUUAAUCAGAAAAAACAACUAUUUUAGUACCUGACUGAAUUAAAGCCUUAUUGGUAAUGAACUAGGUUAAUUGGAGUUCUCCCAUCUCGAGACUUUCACAACUGUCUUUAGGUUAACGAAAAUAUUUUAGAUCUAGCUGAGUGUAUAGCCUUGGAUAUUUCUGUGAUUUCUUUUAAGAUCAUAUGGGGAACGUUUUAUUUACGUUGCCUGGGGUUUAUUGGUGCAUUUCUCUUUAACAUUGUAAUGGGAAAAAAAAAACUGAUAAAACUUUUGAAAAUAUGGUGAAAGUUUCCACUUGUGUUUUAUUAAAUGUAGGCGAUACAACAUAAUAGCAUAGGUACAUGCAUUCUUUAUUUGCAGCUCUUUCAGGAGGAAGACAUUAAUUUUCAUAAGAAAUAUGACAUUUAUAAGAAUUGAAAAGUUUAAAAGGAAGUGCACAGAAAUUGGUAAGACUUGUAAAACCUUGGUUUACCAGGUCUGGUGAUGUCUUGCAUAAGAAAACUUCAGAACAGAGCAGAUACUUGGGACACUUGUUUAUAUUUUGCUAUUUGUUUACUAAGACCAUAAAUGCUAAGCUAAACAAUUCAUAUAUAGGGAAAGAGUGAAUAAAGAGAGAAGAUUUUAUUAUUUUCCUUAGGAUUCAAAUUUUCUGUCCAUCAUAGAAUCCUUUGAUUUUUACUUCUUAUGAAAGCACAAAAAGGCAAUAGCAUUUUCCGUAGCUCAUUAUUUUGAAAAGAAAAGUGAAGAACAUGAAAAUACUGCUCCUGUUGAUUCUAACACCCACCUCCAGAGAGAUACCGAAGACUUUCAAUUCAUAGUAGAGAUCUAAUCUUGCCAAAAAUACUAAACUUAAUUUUUAUAUUAAAAAUAAGAUUUCUAGAAUAUAUAGGGAAGAUGAUUGAUAGUUAUUUCAUGUCAGGCAGUUUUUCUUCCUUGUAUUAGAAUUUCAUUCAUAUUGAUUAUUGUUUAGUAUCAUAAUUUUGAGGUAAAGGAUUACCUGAAACUAUUGUAAUUUGCUUCUAAUCAGAAUAUAAAAUAUACUAGUUUUGUUAUUGUUUAUAAAAGAUAAAGUAAAGGAGAUUGGAUAAUUCUGUCACAAUUCUCUUUCUGACUCAACGGACGUUAUUAGCUGUACUCAGCAUUGAUAUCCCUUUAUUCCUUUGCUUACAGUAUAUCCUAGUUUCUUCAUGUAGCUACUCUGCUCUGCUGUAGGCUAAAUGCUUCAGGAGAAGCUGACCCUAAUCCAAGCUCCAUGAGUGGGCUUUAUUAGUCUAAGGUGAACACCAUCUUUCUUACCACUUCUUGUUUCAUGUGAAAAGGGUCAGGUACCCACUUAAGCGGACUGAUAUUAGGAGUAGUGCUGGUGCCUCCCUGGACAGGUCUUCCUUUAUUCUCACUGGGAGAGUUUCUUGAAUUGAUUCUCCUUCUAUUCUGCUAGGCUCCUGGCCACCAUUCUAACACCAAAAGGAGAGCUAGCUUUAAGAUAAAGAAUUACUACAGAUUGCAGAACAGAGAAAAAUAUUCCUAACCAGGAACAUUUUAACUCCACUGCAUAUUGUGUGUGUGUGUGUGUGUGUGUGUGUGUGUGUGAGAGAGAGAGAGAGAGAGAGAGAGAGAGACGGAGGGAGAGAGAGAGAGAUCAGAAGAUGAGGAAUGUCUUUGAUAAGAAUUUACACUGGCAAUUUUUUUUCCAGAAAAUUCCAAAGGGAAAAUUAAAAUGUGCCAUUUAGGGUUUUAUUUCAAGUAUUUAUAUGGGCAAAAUCACUUGCAUGCAUUUGAUAAAAUGUCUCUUUUUCUUUUCCCCCACCCUUCAAAGGUGUUAUUUUAUCCACUGCAAGACUUCAAAAUGGUUAUGUGAUUGACUGAAUAUAGUCAUAAAGCCAAGCCUUCUGAAGUUGAAGGGCUUAUUGCCUUAAAUGUUAUUCUUUUGAUUAUAUGGGUAGUCUAUUUGCAUUUGUUAGUGCCUCAUAUGAUAUAAUUGGAUGUCUCAUCUUUUGCCAAAAAUGUUAGAAUCUGAGAAACCAUUUAUUUGAAAAUUCCACUUUAAGGGUACAAAAUUCAGGUAGACAGGAGGAAUAUGGUAUUUCUUUUUAGUUCUAUUGCACAGUGUGGUGAAUAUAAUUAAUAAUAGAGUACUGUACAUUUUAAAAUUGCUAAGAGAAUAAAUUUCAGAUGUUCUCUCCACAAAACAAUGGAAAUAUUUGAGGUGAUGGAUGUGUUAACAAGCUUGACUUUAUUAUUCUACAUUGUAUUCAUAAAUCAUAACAUCACUUUGUACGCCAUAAAUUUAUGCAGUCAUAAAUUGACAAUUUGUGAUAAAAAUAUAUUCCAAAACUAAAAUUCAAAGCAAGUUUAAGAUGUGGAAUGUAUCUUGAACUAUUCCCUCUUUUUCUAGGAAAGAAAUAAAAUACUGAUAUAGUUAAUCCUUCAUCUGUUUCUUGCUAUCCAGCUUGACAGGGAACAUUUUAAAACAGUGCUCUUGAGAAGAGACUAUCUCAAUGAAUAUCUACUUGGGACCUCCUCAAAGGAAAGUGAGAUGACAAAAUUGGUGAUGUAUGUGACUCCAUACUCUAGUGACAGAGAAGAUAAUUACGGUGAGGUAUCUGGAAUGAUCCAAAGGCAAAUUGGAAUUUUCCAAGAGAGAAUGAAGAUGUAUUUGUGAAGAGAAAGACAGUUGGAAGGAAAUGUUAUUUUAGUAUAUAUUCUGGCCAUACAUGACUUAACAAGUAUGAAUUUCAAGAGGACAAUAAAAGAGAAAUUAUAGUAAUCAAGAUAGGAAAUGAUUAAAGAAUGGGAGAAAAUUUUAGCUGAGAGGGAAUGUGAAGAUUAAAUACAAAUUCUAACAGCCUGGUUGACAAGUUGAUGAGCACAUUUACAGAUGAGAAAUGAAGAAGGAACAAAAGAAUGACUUCAACAGUUUUGUGUAAGAGCCAGCCUCAGGUUUAUAUUAGAAAGAAUGAAAGUAGAAUUUGAGCAAAGAAGUUUCUGAAAGAGGAGAAAAUUAAUGUUUUGCCACAGUUUCCUUCUAAAGCUUACCCAAUGAUUGACAUACUUUUCUUUUUUAAGUGCCUAUUUGUGGGUGAUCUGAUACUUUUUGUAUCUAACCUUUCUUUUAUUAUUGAAAGAAAUAAGACAAAAUUCAGGAAGGAGAGAAUGUAUAUCUUUUUUGAAAUUAGACUAAAUGGGUGCCUUCCAUGUUUUGCCUGUUAUGUGUAGUAAAUUUGAUCUUGUAAUAUAAAAGUAGCUAUAUUCAAAUAGGCUAGAAUAUCUUCAUGAUUCUUGUUUGGGAAAAAUAAUUGUUACUUAUUUGCUAGCUGUAUUAACUGUGCAGAAGCUGGAAAAACAUUGGAUUUUGGGUCAGAUUCAGAUUCGAGUGUAAUACUGUUACUUAGCAACUUUUUGAUUCUGAGUAAGACACUUCUUCAGGCAGAAGGGUAUGAUCAUAAGUAUGCAUGGGAGGCUCACCAAUGAAUAGAAUGGCUCAUGUAGAUGAUCUGGAAAGUACUUACAGUGCUUAGGAAAGAGUACUUCUAUUUUUGUUUUUGUUUUUUUCUUGUACAUAUAUAAUGUCUCUGUGUGGUUGCAACCAUUGACACUUUUAACCAAUGGUAAAUAUAAGGAGUGAUGGGUACUAUGGCAAACUGGUAUCUGAAUUCACAGUUUAAAGUAUGUAGAUUGCGGUGAUAUGUGGGAAUGAGGGCAUAGUUUUGCAAGAACUGGUUUUUGAUUUUUGUUUUUCUUUCUAAGGAGGAGACUUAAGUUUGGAGUUUUUCUGUGAAGUUUUUCAUUUAUACAUGUAAGCAUUUCAUCAGAAAACAAUUUUGCUGCGCUGGUAUGUGUCAAACAAAACAAGUCUUUGAGCCAGAUCUGGCCUGUGGCUGUAUUUUGAAUGUUCUACUUUAAUCUCUAUCUCUCUCUCUUUUUUUUUUUUACAUGGUUAUGGAGCUCUGGAUAAUCUACACAGUAUGUACUAGAGUUUGUUUAAAUGUUGAACAAGAUGCUGAACAUUCUUAAUAUCAUAUAUUUUAUUUAGGUGAGAUUUAACAUAAAUUUGAAAAAAAAUUGGCCAGGCAUGGUGGCUCACACCUGUAAUCCCUGCACUUUGGGAGGCUGAGGCAGGUGGAUCACCUGAGGUCAGAAGUUUGAGACCAGCCUGGCCAACGUGUUGAAACCCUGUCUCUACUACAUUAAAAAAAAAAAAAAAAAAAAAAACAGAUUUGGUGGCAGGUGCCUGUAAUUCCAGCUACUAGGGAGGCCGAGGCAGGAGAAUCACUUGAACCCAGGAGGCGGAGGUUGUAGUGAGCAGAGAUCAUGCCACUGCACUCCAGCCUGGGUGACAGAGUGAGAGACCCUGUCUCAAAAAAAAAAAAAAAAAAAAAAAAAAAGAAGAAAAAUUACUUUGUCAUUCAUUCACUGGAUUAAAAACAAAUUUGCUAAGAGGAUACAUUUAAUUAAAGCAUAGAAGGACUCAAAGUGAUUGAUUUUAUUUCUCUAAUUUUAGUAAGAUAUAAACAUGAAAUUUGUUUUGAGUGUUUCACACAGAUUUUCUAAAUAAGCAAGAGAAGAUACCCUUGGAAGGGACUGGAUAGUAAAAGGGAACAGAUGAUGAAGUUUUAUAAUUUUUUUCAAGAUAAAAUCAUUACCUGCCUAUUUAAUUGAUUUAUUGUGUAUUAAAAAUAUAUUUCUACCCUCAAGUUUACCAAAGUUAACCAUCAUAUAUUUUACAUUAGAAAUGUAUGAAUACUUAUAGCUCUUCACUAUUCAUGUGACUUGGGUCUUAUUUUUUUAAAUCACCUUUUAUCUUAGAUACAGGGGGUACAUUUGUAGGACUGUCACAUGAACAAGGCAAAGAGGAACUUUAUUGAGCAACAGAACAGCUCCGAGGAGACCCACGUUGGAUAGCUCUCCGCAGGCAGGUCAUUCCUUCAAAUGUUCAGCGCUCAUUAGAUAGGAGACUCUGGUGUGGGUAGCUCCUCUCCACAACUGGUCAUACUGUCAUCUCUUUAGCUCUCAGCAGAGAGGAGAGCCUGGAAUGGGUAACUCCUCCCUACAGCUAGUGGUUCCAUCGAUUUCUUGAGUCUGGGUGAGUCUGGGGUUCUUGUGGGCCUCAGAGGGGAGGAAGUGUGCACCAGUUUGUCCAAGGGUGGCCAUAGGCAGGGCUGGAAGGUACCACAAGUUCCCAUUCUGGUUUGCACGACCAGCAGCCUGGCCCCUGGAGGGCUUCAGGCCCUCCCCAGCUUGAAGGUGGGGCCUUGCUAGGGACCCACCCCCUUCCACUCAGGAGCGCGUCUGCCUCCUGCCACAGUUCAUGGCACCCAGGCUGUUUGUGCUGUGGGGUGCCUGCAGGCCAGCACCAAGCUGCCUUCAGGCCCCACUCAGCCUCCCUCCCAUGCUCAUUGGCACCCAAAGCCUGGAGGGGGCUGAGGCAGCAGGGUGCUGGUAUGUCAGUGCUGCCCUUAUUGUGUGCACACUCAGCCUGAUUGUGACAGCACCCGGGCUAGGCCUCAACUCCACUCCAAGAUCGGAGCAAGUGCAGGGAGCAAGGAGAGGCGAGGCAGUGACAGCAGGCACCUCUGAGCCUGCAGAGACAGGGGGCCUUUCCUGGCCUCCAAGAGUGUAGAAAUGCCUGGGUUUGGAGCCGCCACUUGGGUGGCUGCAGCUGUGCCUGGAAGGGCGGGGCUUCUGGCUGCUUCCAGCUCCUGCCAGCUCUGUGGAGAGCGCAGUCCUGGAAACACAUCCUCCACUGAAGCUGGUGUCAUGGCAGCCUCUGCUCUAGAUGGGCUGCCGUCAUGAGGAUUGAGAACUCUACCAGAGCACAUGGAAUGAGACCGGUAGUCCACACAAGGACAGAGCAGGAGAUGGGAAAUGCAGUGGGCAGACAUAAAUAGCAGAAGCCCCAUGGAAUCCACAAAUCUAACAUGUUAUUAUCCUUUACCUUUAGAAUUGCUCUUCUUUUUCAACCAGACCCCACUGUGUGUAACAAUUAUUUUUUAAAUUGAGUUUUUAACAUCAUUUUAUUCAUCCAUUAUGUAUAUGAAAACAUUUAUAUUUUUAUGAUGGUGGCAAUAAUUAUUGUUUGCCACCCCCCCUUUUUUUUGGGUGGUAGUGGACAGGGUCCCACUCUGUUGCCUAGGCUGGAGUGCAGUGGUGUGAUCUCAGCUCACUGCAGCCUCCGCCUCCCUGGCCUAAGUGAUUCUGUCACUUCAUCCUCCUGAACAUCUGGGACCACAGGUGUGCACCACCACACCUGGCUAUUUUUUGUGUGUUUUUUGUAGAGACAGGCUUUUGCCACAUUGCCUAGGCUGGUCAUGAACUCCUGGACUCUAGCAAUCCACCUGCCUCUGCUUUCCAAACUGCUUGGAUUACAGGCGUGAGGCACUGCAUCCGGCCGUAAUUAUUGUUUGCUCUUUGAAGGAAAAAGUUGUUUGCUCUUUAAAGGAAAAUCUAUGAACUAUUAUUUUAUAAAAUAAAUCUUCCAGAUUAGGGUUCCCUGACUCUUCCUUAUAAUUCCCCCAGAAAGUUGAGAAAGAGAGAGAGAGAGAGAUAGAGAUAGAGACAGAGAGAGAGACAGAGAGAUCUGGUUUAAUAGAUCAAGAUGAAGACUGUCAAAAUGGCAAUACAAAUGCUUAGGAUGAUUUAAUGAUUACCUUAGUUUCGUUUAUAGUAUAGAAAGAGAAGAGCAACAUUAAACAGGAUUUCAAUCUUCUUUUUUUUGUUUUUGAGACGGAGUCUUGCUCUGUCUCCCAGGCUGGAGUGCAGUGGCCCGAUUUUGGCUCACUGCAAGCUCCGCCUCCUGGGUUCAUGCCAUUCUCCUGCCUCAGCCUCCGGAGUAGCUGGGACUACAGGCGCCUGCCACGAUGCCCGGCUAAUUUUUUUGGUAUUUUUUUAGUAGAGACGGGGUUUCACCGUGUUAGCCAGGAUGGUCUCGAUCUGCCUGCCUCGGCCUCCCAAAGUGUUGGGAUUACAGGCGUGAGCCACUGCUCCCGGCCAGGAUUUCCGUCUUCUAAUCUGAAGUUUUGAAUAUUCCAACCUCUUUGCACAGUCUUCUGCCUUGUUUUCUGUCUUUUUCCAGGUGAUAAUUUGUGUUCAAAUAAUCCCCAAGUUUUUCACAGUAUGGCUUUACAAGUAUACUACAUUUAUCUGUCAAGUUUCCGAUCACAUACCCUUGGUCAGAAUCUUUCUCAGGGUCCUUGUUUCUUACAGAUUAAAUAGAUUGGGUUUGAUAUUCAACAAUGUUUUGACCUGGUUCAAUUCGGAUUCCAGCCUAUUUCCUACUCCUCCCAUUGAAUUGCGGCAUGCUUUAAACUCAAAGUGUCUUUCUUAUGUCUUUCCUUUUUUUUCUUCAUUUUCGUCUCUCUUUCUCUGAAUAAGCCAUUGCUUUCUUCUUUCCACACUUUGCUUUUGUAGUUCCGCAUAGAGUCAUUUCCUCCCAGCUAUUCAGGAUGCCCUCCACGUUAACUCCUUUGGUGAAAAUCCAAUUUAUGUUUUGGGGCCUAUCUGAAAGGCAUUCACAUCUAUGCAGGCUAAUCAUAUGUGGUUUCCUUCUUCUGAACUCUUGUAGUACUCUCUGUAGUAUUUCCUUGAAGUAUUUAUAGUUUUCUUGUAUUUCUUCUUGUACUUUAUGGGAUUUCACAAAGUUUUAUAUACUGACUCAAUACAUAUUUAUUAAAUGACUUGGUAGAUAGAGCAACUGACUGAAUAUAUUAUUUUUUAGGAAGAAGAAGAACAUUUUUGCUUAAAUUAAAUUUCUUAUUUUAUUUCUCUUUCCCCUUUUAUCCAGGGUAGGUCCAGGUAAAGCCAAAGGCCUUAUCCUUAUCUACACUGCUGGGGGACACAACACAAGAAUUUCAAGUUCAAGUAUUAUUUCUCAUUUUGAGUAAUUUUGUUCUCAUUUUGUUCCAGUUCUCACUCUCAGAAAAAGAUUACUCUUUGUAUAUUAAUAUUUCUUAAUCAUGGUUCUUAUUUCAAUAUACUAAUAUCAUGGUAUUAAGAGCAGUUUUUGUUUUUUUUGAAUACCUUCCCUUCAGGGCAGUCUUAUGAUUAAGAAUAUAAGUGUAGGCAGAUGUAGUAUUUUUUUUUCUAUUAACCAGGUAGUAAAACUAGAAAAGGAAACACACUUCAAAAUGUAUCAUACUUAAAAAUAUAUCAAGCAUAAGAAAAGAGAAAUAUUUCUUUCCAAUGGUAGUGAGAAGAUACAUUAAUUGGGUUAUAAAAUAAGUGCAGGUAGUCCUUAGAGUUUUCUAAGAAUAAUGAGGCACCUAUCUGCCUAGUUGAAAAGACUUCUACCUAGAAAUAGCAAGAGUAGUUUUGAGGAAUUUUGUUAGUUUUUGCAAUUGUAAGUUUACACGUGAAAUAAACCCAGCUUGAAAACUUUAAGCUGAUGAAUAAAGAUAGCCACAUAAUUAUGUUGGAUGUGUGAUCUUCUUUAAAAAAGAUGAACUUUCUAAUUAUUAAGACAAAUAUGCCAACUAAUCAAUUAAUUCUCUACUAAUCUUCCUAUCAGGGGUCUCUUCCUAGGGAAUUGCUGAGGCUGGGGUAAUUUUAAUUAAGGUGAAGCAGAGAGUCAAGAAAGCAAAAAACAAAGUCUCCUACCAAAUGGAGCUAUUUGGAAAGGAGUUACUCAACCAAAAGGAGAUACAAGGAGCUACUCUGAAGCAAAGGCUCAGCUAAAAGGAGAGGACACGGAGAAGAGAUUGAUUAUUCACUCUCGGCAAAGAACACCUUGCUUGGACUCUGAGGGGACAGGAAGAGUACUGUACUUCCCUCCCAUGAACUGGAACAGGGCUAAUAGGCAUAUAGCAUAGGUAGGCCUAGAAGUGGGCAAGAUGAGGCCUAGAGAUCAAGAAUAUCUGAGUCAUUUUUCUUUUACUGACCCGAACCUUCAGGCCCACCUGUAAGUGUCCUGCCCACCUCUUUCUGGGCAGUUUCUUGAUGAUAUACUUGUAUAUGUAAUAAAGAGUAACAAAGAAGAGUUAUUUUAUAGUUCAAAUACUGUUCUGUGUUGUUGCUAGAGUGAUCAGUCUCUUUAGAGACUUAUUUAACACAAUUAUGUUUUUGAAAAAGUCAUUUGCUCCUACAGGCUGAUUAUUAUAGGAGGGCAUCUUAUUCUGAUAAAGGUGGUAAUUAUUUAUCUGGCUAAGCAAUCUUGUUGAUUGAAUAUAGCUAAAUGUUUGGUGGCAUUUAGGCUAGAGAAAUACUGUAUUGAUAUGUGAAUAAAUUAAAUGUAAAUAUGAGUUUUACCACCUUAGCUGAAACUACAUAUUAAUUUUUGAGUUUAAUCCGUAAUUAGUGAGUUUUUACUUUUUUUUUUUUUUUUUUUUGAGAAGGAGUCUCGCUCUGUCGCCGAGGCUGGAGUGCAGUGGCAUGAUCUCAGCUCACUGCAACCUCCGUCUCCUGGGUUCAAGCGAUUCUCCUGCCUCAGCCUCGCAAGUAGCUGAAACUACAGGUGCGUGCCACCAUGCGUGGCUAAUUUUUUAUAUUUUUAUUAGAGAGGGAGUUUCACUGUGUUAGCCAGAAUGAUCUUGAUCUGCUGACCUCGUGAUCGUGAUCCACCCGCCUCAGCCUCCCAAAGUGCUGGGAUUACAGGCGUGAGCCACCGUGCUCGGCUGUGAGUUCUUACUUUCUGAACAUUACUUUCAGAUUUCUGAAGAAAUAAACAAAUUGUGCUCUCUAAGUUGUCAUCACAGAUUCUUAUAAUGCUAUCAGUUUUAAACUAUAAACAUGGAGGCAGCACCCAUGGGAGUAAGAUAUUGAACGUUUACAGCAUGUGUACAUAAGUUACCUCAAAGGAUAAUUAGAUGAUUAUAAUGACACUUUCUUUGAGAUAGCUAAUUUUAAAAAUCUAUUGCUCCCAAGUCUAAUUAUUUGAGUAAUGAUAACAUAUUAGCAAUCAUGAAACUUCAGUCACAGCCAACCCCAUUGAAGAAAAAAAAGUAAAUCAUAGCAUUUUCUAUAAAGACCCAAAGGAUUGCACCAGACCAAUCCUUGCAUUUUCUGCUGUGUAUUCUAUGCCCAGCCUCCCAUCCGUGUGUACUCUAAACUACCUACACAUGUAUCAUUCAUGUGAUUUCACUCUAUUUGUUUUCAUUUGUUUUAUAACUCUUCCUUUGGUACCAGGGAGAUAAUUUUCUAGUUCUUCUCCAUCCUUUGUGAACCUCUGAAAGAAGGCUUUUAUAAUUAGACUUCAUAGCUUUAACAAACAUUUCAUAACCUGCCAGUAAAAAUGUCAGUUCUCUGGGCCAGGGCAUAAUUAAAUGAGUAAGUAUCAGUGUGGUAAUUCAGCCACAAAAUAAAAUAAUUUAAAGGGUCUAUUAAUUAAGGGCUUGCUUUGAUUUUGGAAUUCUAAUCAACAGUAAGCUCUGUAUGUUAUGGGUAAAAAUCUUCUUGCUUUCACCGUUCCCUUUUCUUGGCCUAUUACAAAUAGUAAAUAAAAUAAUUGUAUCAAUGAAAUUUUCACUUUGUUGUUCUUUUUUGAAUGAUUAUGCACCUGAGAGAAUGUUGUUAAAAUAGCAACAUAUUGGAUAUGGUCAAAAUGAACAUUUUGCUAUGAGCCUUUAAAACCAAACCUGAGUAAUACAAGCAAUAUAUAAACGGUAUAGUAGACUCUGUUUGAGUCCAUUAGGUCCUGACUGAAGACUGAAAAAACAGUAAAAGUGGAAUCCUGGAAGCUAAUAAUAGUUUGUUUGGUAGGGGGUCUUUUGAACUGAGAGCAGUAGGAGGAAGACAAAUGUGUGAAAUGAUGGGCAAUAUAAUGAUAGGGUACAGCGAGGAUGGAUUAACUAUUGGUAGCUCUUGUAACAAAGAAAGAAAAGCUAAUUUUGUAGACAAACAAAAAGGCUGGUAGAGUAAAAUUAAUAUUUUAGAAUAGAAAACCUCUAUCUUUGAGCUGGGUGUGGUGGCUCAUGCCUGUAAUCCCAGCACUUUGGGAGGCUGAGGAGGGCAGAUCACGAGAUCAGGAGAUUGAGACUAUCCUGGCCAACAUGGUGAAACCUUGUCUCUACUAAAAAUAUGAAAAUUAGCUGGACAUGGCGGCGCGCACCUGUAGUCCCAGCUACUCAGGAGGCUGAGGCAGUAGAAUCGCUUGAACCCGGAAGGCUGAGGUUGCAGUGAGGGAUUGUGCCACUGCACUCCAGCCUGAUGACAGAGCAAGAUUCUGUCUCAAAAAAAAAAAAAAAAAAAAAAACCAAAAAUAAAACGAAAAAGAAAGAAAGAAAGCAAGCCUCUAUCUUUGCUAGGAAUUAAUUGGUGGUUUUUACAUUUUUAAAGAUGUAUUUGAAGUCUGGGAAUGAAAGAGUAAGCAGUUUCUUAGAAGUCAGCAUAAUAAUGACUAACAUUAAUUGAGCUCUUACAUUAUUCUAGGAAUUGCAGUAAGUGCUUUAUGGCUAUAAUCUCAAAUCUUCUCAUGACCCCAUGAAAUAGGUUAGUUUCUAUGAGGAAACUGAGGCACAAAGAUUAUUAGUGGCUGAGCUACUUAACCAAGACAGCCUAUUUCCAAAAGUCAAGUGCUUGGCUAUCACUCUGUAUCCUUUCCAAGGUAUAUUCUAUUGAUAAUGAUGCUUUAAGUACAUUUCUAACCAGGGCAGUAUCUUAAUGCUGAUUUUAAAAUGGAGACUCUGGAAAAUUUUCUAUUGUACAAUAUAUUCCAAAAGGAGAGACACUUCCAAGGUUAAAUCAUUGAAUAAAUUUCCUUAAAAAUCUUAAAAAUGUUUUUUGUAAAACUUAUUUUUUAUUCAGAAAGAGUUGAAGCGUGAUAAAUGGCAAUUUCUGGUCUUUUUUUUAUCCACUUAUUUGAAAUGUAUGCUGGGUGUGCUCAUCUGGAGCCUAAGAGUAACACCUAAGGAAAAUCAUCUCCCCUGAUGAGGCUUAUUGUUUGUUAUUAGUUUUGUUCUGUUUGGUUUUAUUGUUCUCUUGCUUGGGAGAUGAAAAUAAGCUUCUAAGUAUAUAUUCUCACUUUAAAAAUCUUAAGAAAGAAUGAAUAAGAUCUACUUGUUGAUAGCACAAUAGAGUGACUGUAGUUAAUAAUAAUUCAACUGUACAUUUAAAAUAACUGAAAGAGUAUAAUUGGAUUGUUUAUAACAUAAAUGAUAAAUGCUUGAGGUAAUUCCAUUUAUCCUUAUGUUAUUAUUUUGAUACAUUGUAUAUUGUAUGUCUUUAUCAAAAUAUCUCAUGUACCCCAUAAAUGUGUACAGCUACUAUGUACCCACAAAAACUAAGAAUUAAAAAAAAAUCUGAAGAGCACAGUCACUUACUCGGUCGCUAUACACCAAAAUGCAUAUAAAUGUAGACUUGAAAUGUAGUUCGAGAUGCUGAUUUGGGGGAACUAAUUGAAAGGCUUGAAAAUUGCUUAGCAAUUCUGGACUUAAUGUAUCUUAGUGCUGGAAAGCUAAAGGGGACUUACUGGUAUAAAGGGAUAUUAAAAGAAACAUGUUUUUGUUUGUUUCCUCUGGGUGGAUGGAGAGGAAAUAAGCUUAAGUUAAAGCAAGCACUAUCUAGUGUUCUAAGGGAGACGUAAUGAAAAACCUCUGGUCUUUACUAAUAGUGAGAUCUGAAGGAGGUUAUAGAUUCUUUAAAAUCACAGCUGUGUAAGAAUAAGAUAGGGUUUGAGGUGUUUUAAAGCAGUCUUGUGUGCCAUUAGAAAAACAGAUUUGGUAUCAUUGGGAUGUCUUUAGAGAUUUAACACUGUGUUUUGUAGCACGUUUUAAUUGUGUGCACUUGGGUUUGGAGCUGUGCAGGCGGUCCUCUACUUAAAGUGAUUGUACUUGUAGAUGAUGCAUAAAGGCUUCCAGCCAGUUUCUUCUAUGUUAUUAUGUAUUGGCACUUAAUGCAAGCAGGUCACAAAUGAACUCGCCCCAGCUAGUCUGACUCCUGAUAUGAAUCAAAUAAGGCCCCCCUCAUCAACAGCCUCAGCUUGUUCCCAUGGGCUCCUCUGUGGAACUCAGUAUAGGAUUAGACUCAGCUCUAGAGCAGCAACUGGGAGAGAGCAGAAUGGGAGCAAGAUGGCAUGGCCUAUAGUUCAUAAUUUAAUCUUUUUUUUAAGUGUGUAAAUCUCCUAUAUUUUUUGUUAUUAUUAAUUUUUAUUUAAUGUUUUUUUUUACUGAUAUGGAUAGUUUACAAAUUUAAUUCUUGAAUUCAAAAAUUCAAAGAGGUAAAGUUGGAAGGAGGGAGAAAAAUAUAUAUUUGGUUAGCAAGAGACCUUUAAUCUGUAUAAGGUCCUGUGACGUUCAAUGGAACUGAUUUUCCUGAGGAGUUAGGAAAUUGGCUCUGUGACAAUCUCCAUAGAGAAGUUCUUUGGACAACUGUAGCAGUGAUAAUUUCCUUGAAAGAAAUACACAACAAACCAAGUAAAAACACUGUGAAGGGCUUCACUUAUUGAUGUAUGUGAUGGGCUGAAUAUGUCCCCCAGAAUUCAUAUGUUGAAACUUAAUCACCAAUGUGAUAGUAUUAAGAGGUGGAGCCUUUAGGAAGUGAUUAAGUCAUAAGGCUAGAGCUCUCAUGAAUGGGAUUAGUGACCUUAUAAAAGAGGUGGAAAGGAGGGUCUUAGGCCUGUUUUGUUUUGUUUUUGGCUUUCCACCUCUGCCAUGUGAAGACACAGUGUUGUCCCUUGUGUACUUUUUGCCCCUCCUGCAAUGUGAGGAUACAGCAAGAAGGCCCUCACCAGACACUGAAUGCUGGCACCUUGGUCUUGGACUUCUCAGCCUCCAGAACUGUAAGAAGUAAAUUUCUGUUCCUUAUAAAUUACCCAGUCUGAUAUUUUGUUAUAGCAGGAGGAAUGGACUAAGAUAGUGUAUGAAGUUUGAUAUAUUGAUGAAAAAGAAUUCAUUCUGAUUACUAUAUUGUCACACUUUACAUCCCAAUAUACUCCCAACAAUGUUUAAGUAAUGACUACAUCAAUAAAAGCAGUUUGAAUUGUAGACACUUACUCUGUGAUCUUCAGUAGGUCAGUUAACUUCUCUAAGGCUUAGCUUCUUUAUCUUUAAAUGGGGGAUAGCAAAACAUAAGCUCUUGUAAAGAUUAAAUCAUUUCUUAUAUGAAAGUACUCAACAUGUUAUUUAAAUGUGAAAGUACCUCAAGUAUAUAGGUGGUAGCCAAGAAGUUUUAUUUUUUUAAAAAUUUAUUUUUAUUCAAAAUCACAAAGUAUAGUACAGAAUUUUUAUGGGAAAAGAGAGCUGGUAGAUCAUUAUAAUAUCAUAUAUAGCUACUUUAUGCUUAUGUGCUAAUACACAUAAUAUAGAUCAACUGGCAUUAUUUAAUACUUAGUAUGCUUGGAAAACUGUACAGCAUAUUAAAUUUUAAUCAGAUAUUUUUUCAUAUAUGUUGUCUUGCAGAGGUGAUGAUAUGCUCUAGGUUUUAUUAUAAACUAAAAUGAGAUUUUUUUGUUGUUGUUUUAUGCCCUUGUAGUUCAUAUUGUAAUUUACUUUUAACAGAAGCAGAUCCCAAAUUGCAUUUUAAAGGUAGAUGCCUCUCAUGAGACAUUUGCAUCAGUGAGCGAUGUGGGCUUGUGAAAGUAUUUUCAAAACUAAUCACAGCAGGAUUUGUCUCAGUCGUUGAAACAUUGUUGGACAGAACAAGAUAAUUUCACAUCCACUAGAGGAAUGAUAUUAUUUUAGAAUAAUAUUUUAAAAUGUAGAUACUAUAAAAGGUAAAAGAAUAUUUUUUGAAUGUCAGAUUUAUUUCCUUUCUGAGUGUACAUUGGGAUGGUUAGACUUUAAAAGUAUAAGUGAUUUGUGAGUCCAUUCAGCAGUUCUAUAGUGUGAGAUCUUUUGUAUUAUCAAAGUAACCAUUUUAAACUAUUCCUAAGAAAAUUCUUACAAGGGUAACCAAUGUAAUGGUCUUGAGACAUGGAAAUUGUUUCCAAGAGAAGUUUUAGGAUUUAGUGAUUUUUUUUCAAAUAUUUGAGAGCUAUCUUUUUGGAAUUACAUUGCUUUGCUCUUUAUUAUACUGCAUAAAUACCCCGAGGAUCUUUUUUGUUUUUUUGAUUUGUUGUAUCAAACCUAUGUCCCUUCCUCCAGAAAAUGGACAAGGUGAAGGCAAAGAAGAAUUAUUUUACCUAAUGUUUGAUGGUGAUAGAAGCAGAACAAGUAGCAUCAUGAAUCUAAUUCCUUGGGUUUCUUUGGUCCUUCAGUUUUAAUUGAAAAAAAAAAAAAAAAAGAACCAGUAUAAUAAUGUAAUAUUACCCUAGGCUACUCUUUCCCAAACAUUAUUUCUUUUUUAUUGUUUUAAAAACCUAUGCCUUAUAUUUUCUGACUGCCUUAUUUAAAGUAACACCUUCCCCAAUAAUCUGUAUCUAUCUUGCCUUCAUUUUCUUCAAAACGCUUGUUGCCAUCUGACAUACUAUAUAUUUUUCUUGAUUUUUUUUUCUGUUUGUUUCCUUCAUUAGAAUAAAAACUCCAUGAGAACAGGGACUGGUAUCUGUUUUGUUUUUUGCUGUAUCCCAGUGCCAAGAUCAGCACCUGGUAUAUAGGAUGCCCUCAAUAAAUGUUUAUUGAAUGAAUAUGGUAAAAGAAAAAAAACCGUCUUGCCUAUUAAGGUGACUGACUUCUUUUUAUGUUAGCAUUUGUUUCAAGAAUUAAUUCAUCUCAAAUGAACUAUCAUCCCUUUGAAUAUCACCCUUCUUCUUUUUACUUGCAUCUGUGUCUGAAUAGAUAGUACUAGUUUGGGAGGUUGUAAUAGUCACUUCUCAUUUUUGGAUGGCCAAUGGCCUAUUUACAGAGGGUAGAUUACUUCCCCAUAACCAUUAAUGUUUAUAGUUUAGGGCAAGAGAUCAAUACUCAAGCCAUCUAUAUUAAACUUGGUCUCUCAAUAUGGUGGUCACCUAUGGAUUUCUUUAUUUGCUUGAUUGUUUCUGUCCAUCAUUUUCCAAAAUGGAUUUCAAGAGGCUAGGUCUCUACAAAUUCCUAACAUCCCCUUCACACUCAUCUCUGUUUCUACUCUACUAAUCAAUCAUUAUUGGGUCAACUAGAUAGAGUUCAUAGUGUAAAGUUGCUUAUUAUUUCUUUAUCUCAUUUCUAAAGAGAAGUAGUUCAUUUCCCCAAACUCCUUUUUUGCUUGGAUAAUAUUUUCCUUUGAUGUUAUAUUUUAGCACUGUUUUAGCCAGUCUCUGUGAAGAGUCAAUUCUACAUAUCCUCUGUACUGUCGAUCAUUAGAGUGCAGCAACCUAGAACAAAGUGGAGGCACUUGAAUUGCUGGCUGGGUUCACGAGUGAAACUAACUGUGAGGACACUCAUCUUUGCCCCGUUGGGUUUAUUUGGAGUAGAUCAGUUUAAAUGAUAGGCCUCCAUGGGAGAAAGAAGACACUUCCAUAACAAUGAAUUCUACAUGACAGGAAGCUAUGAGUGCGUGAGUACAGUUAUUUUUGAUUCUUGAAACUUGUUAUCAGAGAAUUGUUAGCAUGGUGGACUUAGGGGCCAGCACUCCAGUUAACAGCUUCCUUUUCCAGACAAAUUUAAGUUCCAUUAAUGGAUUUUAAUUACACUGACUUUUUCUGCCAAGAGUGGGUGUCAUGGAAAUUUAUAACCUGAUAUCAAAGGAAACAGAAAUUCUUCAUUUAACUUUUAAUUGUCUCUCAAGUGACAAUUACGCUUUGAAUGAUGGGUCAAAUGAUGUUAUUUAUUACAACACUAGGAACCUGUUUAGUCAAAUGGAGAAGCUACUUUUCAAAAGAUGGGCUUUGAAAUUAAUGUCUAGUUUUGCAUGUGGCUUGGUUAAUAUCUAUUUGGGCUGCUUUAACAAGCACUGGGUAGCUUAAAAACAACAGAACUUUAUUUCUCACAGUUCUGGAGACUGGGAAGUCCAAGAUCAAGAUGCCAGUAUAUUCAGUUUCUGGUUUGGGCUUAUUCCACAUAGCCAGUGUUUUCUUGCUGUGUUCCCACAUGAUGGAAGGGGCAAACAAGCUCUUUAGCCUCUUUUAUAAGGGCACUAAUCUCAUUCAUGAGGGCGGAGCCCUCACAACCUAAUCAGCUCUUAGAAACCUCAUCUCUCUUUUUUUUUCCUUUUUUUUUUUUUGAGACAGGGUCUUGCUCUGUUGCCAAGGCUGGAGUGCAGUGGCGCAAUCUCAGCUCACUGCAACCCCUGUCUCCCAGGCUCAAGCGAUCUUCCCACCUCACUUACUGAGUAGCUGGGACUAUAGGUACAUGCCACCAUGCCUAGCAAAUUUUUUGUAUUUUUUUUAGAGAUGAGUUUUCACCAGAUUGCCCAGGCUGAUCUUGAACUCCUAGGCUCAAGCAGUCUGCCCCCCUCAGCCUCCCAAAGUGUUGGGACUACAGGUGUGAGCCACUGUGCCCAGAGGCUCCACCUCUUAAUACUAUUGCAGUGGGGAUUAGGUUUCAACAUAGGAAUUUUGGGUGGACACCAACAUUCAGACCAUAGCAGUUAUAUUAUAAUUCUCAAAAAACUGUAUAAAGAUUACAUUCCUGAAAUUGACGCAGUUUUUUUUUUUUUUGGAUUUGAUACGUUAAAUGUUGGUUGGUGAUAACACAUCGAUUUUCAUUAUAUAGUAGUAGGAUGUAGGCAUGCUUUGCAUUUCCAUUUAAUGAAUUGUUUGUGUUUAAAAGAUGUCUUCAGACCCUCCAAGCAUAUGUGUUUGAUACAAGCUUUUUCAUAUGUGUUUCUUAGAACAGAUAAGAAUUGUUUCUAAACAUCCAAACAAGCCAAGAUGGGAAUCAGGAUUGUAUGAGUAGGAUCUGAUUUUGUCUUUAUAGAAGACUUAAUCUAAAAGAAUUUUCCAAAAGAAUUUUCCACAAGGAAAAGCUCUUUGGUUUUUCACUAUAGUACUAUAAUUUUGUUCAAAUUGUUAUUGAAUAAAAUAAGCAACAAUGACAAUAUUAGUUCUUGCAGGAGUACUAAAUACUAUUGGCAGUUAUGUUAAUGGGUUCUUCCUAUUGUUUGUAAUGCCUUUUUGUCUUUUAUCUGUUUGUGGAAUUCCUUUUAUUCCUCAAGUUCUAGGUGAAAUCUCCAUGAACUGUUUCUCUGCCAGGGCAGAGUUGAUUGCUUUUCCUCAGUGGUCCCAUUAUUGCUCUAAAUUAUCUAUUAUGGAUAUAGAUAUUUAUUAUGUCUAUUAUUUAUUACAGCCAUAUAACAGUGUAUUAUAAUGGUAUAUGUGUCUGUUUCUUUUUUUUCCAGCAGAUAGUGAGUUCUUCACGGGCAGAAAUAAUACCUUCCUCAAUUUUUAAAUGUAAGCUUCCAAAAUAGAACCCAGUAUAUACCAGGUUCUUUAGUUGGGAAAGUAGACAAACAAAAUACAAACAAAAUGUUCUGUUGUUCAUUUGUAAUAAUCCCUACUGUUGGGCAAACUUUGAUGGUGUAAAUAAAGCCAAUAUGUUUGAAAAUUUUAUAUAGUUCCACUAGAUGUAAUAAAGAGAUUGAUUAAAGAUCCAACAAGUUAAAUUAAACAGUAUUACACUUUCGACUGUGCUAAUAAGACAUUUUUGAAAGAUUAGAUUAUGCUUUAUUCUAAGAAAAGACAAUAUCAUGAAUCCUGCUUUAUUAAUACCUAAAUAUGUUAUAUCACCUUUGGUUAGUUUUGUGUGGCAGAAAGGAUACAGAAAAGUAAGAAUAGAAAGAAAUUUUAAUAUGCUGUACUUUUCCCUGUAAUUUUGUAAACUCACAUUUCAUAUGUACAAUAAAAAUAACUCUAUACCUUUAUUAAAACUUCAAUAUCUUCAUUUAUAUUGAGAGUGGUAGCAACAUAAAAUUGAAACCUGAGAGUUGUGAAGGAUAUAAAGUCAUGUUUUAAUAGAGAAACUAAAUUGCUCCUUCAAAGAGCCUAUAAAACUGAAAAGCAUUCAUUAUAAAUGUAAUAAAAACUUAUGAGUUCAAUUUUAUUAAAACUACACCCAGUUUCCUGGAGGGACUGGAUCAUUUAGAGGUAAACCACUGAUGCUUUAUGUCUAGCAGCAUACUUUAUGUGAGAUAAGACAUCUACUGAAAUGAGGUUGAUGGUUUUAACAUGAUCCCUAAUGCACAUGCACUCAUAAGAUUGUAAUUUUAACUUUAGCAGAGUUUGCUGCUUUUGAUAGUAAAUUAUUUACUGCUCAAAGCUCCUUCACCAAAAAACAGAAUGAUAGUGAAAGAUAAAGCUUAUGCUUCUUCUAAUUGGUUUGUUAUAUCAGACUAACAUUCUGUAAACUUCUUACUCAAAUCAAAUUAUAUAGGUUAACAUUGUUACAGGAGAAUAACUUUAGUGAUUACCAUUGGCUUUUCUUUUUCUAUUCAGACAUAGUACUGUUUUUAAUGUGUUAAGGAGAAUCAUUUUUAGUUUUGGCUUCUUUUAGUGUUUUCAACUUUUACAUAUUUCAUAUUUGAUGCUAUUUUACAUGUUCCACGUACAUAUUUUAAUUAACUGUGGUUGUAUUGCUGACAGUGUGUGAAGGUGCAAAAGGAAAUUACAGGGAACUGACAGGUUGUCCAGUUACUCUUAGUUUUAGAAUCAAAGAACUUUAAAUAGAAAUACUCGCAUACUUAAAUGAGAGAAUUGAAAUAUUUGAGUUAAUAUACAUUAUAUGUAGGCUGUAUUUAUUUAUUCGGAAAUGAGGCAGGUUUUUUUGUAAAAUGGUGGCAGAAUAAAAAUGUGUUUAUUUCAAUCCCUUUCUUGAAACCUACUUCACAAAUACAUGUAAAUUAAUGAAAAAAAAAUGGACACAAAUUAUAACAGCCCCACUAGGAAAUGCAGUUCGAAAAUGUAGUGACUGACAUAGCUAUCAAGUUCAGUGGAAUUUAGUCCAUAUUGAGGGAGGACAUUGGGAGCUGAAACAGUUUUCCAGAUCUCUACCUGUUUGUAUAUAUCUCUGAAAAUGCAUAUAUUCUCCACUCAAACAUUCAAUUCAAUUGGUAGUUUUUGGUAAAUAUUGAAGAAGUUUACAUUAUUUUUGGGAACUUAGAAUCUAAAGAAAGAGAAAGAUAUGACAAGGGCAUUAUAACUCUAAGGCCAGAUAUAAGUAUGAUGGAAGAACAGAGUUCCAGAAUGAACGAGUCCUAAUAACAGAGGAGAAUUGGGAAAAAUGCUUCAUAAAGGAAGUAGCAUUUGCAAAAGUAUUGAAAGAAGGAUAAGAUUUUGGUAGGCAGUUAUGGUGGAAAAAGGCAUCAUUUGUAGAAGUAGCAUGAAUCAAAGCAGAAAUUAUCAGGGCGUGUUUAGGGAAUAGUUAUGGAUUCCAGUUUGAUUGCAGCAUGUGAUACAUGCUGGAAAGUAUGAAUCACUGCUUCACAAGGAGCUGUGGUUAACCAGAGUGACCUGGUACACCCAUGUUGUAGGAACUUUGAGUUCAUUAUGUAAGUUGAUCCACACAGCAGCCCAUAGGGUAAUAAUAACUGCUUGUACGGGUUAGGAAAAUAAGACUCAGAACUUGCUUAAAGUCACUCUGCUAUUGAGUAGUUGAGCCAGGAAUAUGACCGAGAGCCGUUCUGACCUGUGUUGUUACUCACAGUAUUAUAUGAUUCUAAGGGCAGAUCUGGAGCCAUAUUUAGAGGAAUUGUCACAUCAGAUCAAAACUUCAGCCAGUUUAUGCAGACUAGAGAGAGCAUUUUUUUCUUUUUUCAAAAUGAGUAAAAGAAAGUCUGUCUUUAUUUUCCCAUUAGUAAUUGCAUUCUUGUGUCCUGGAGGACAGGAAAAGAAUACAUGGCUUCAAAAUGCCAUCUUUGGAAUCCUUGGUGAAAAAGUGUAAUUAAAACCCAGAUGUCCCUAGAUUUAGAUUAUCUAUGUACUCUUCAUUCUUCUGUGCAAUAUUAUCUGUCUACUGAUUUCUAAAUUAUAUUUAGUCAAUGUUUUUUCCUCCUUCUUUGUUAUUGUUGCUUACUGUAAGGUAUAUCUUUGCUUUAAAUCCCUACUAAUGUGUGACAAUUCUAAAGUCUGAAGGAACUUUUAAUUUGAAAGUAAUUGCCUAGCAUCAAGAGUAAUUUUCAAAGGAGCAAAAUUAUUUUAAACAUUUUAAACUGCAAUUUUAGUCUUUAGAAUUAGAUGGAUUUGUCAUUUGAUAGAAUGUAAUAGUAUUGAGUGAACACACUGAAAGCUAUCGCAUUGUAUAGUAGUUCUGCUGAGUUUUAAAAUAUAGUUGUUUUUCCCAUCCUUCCAGCUGAUACUUCCUUAACUGAUGACAGAUGGUACUUUGGUUUGUUGAAGCCCAAUUCUAUGAUUAUUUUAUCUUUGAUUGCCUUUUUAAAGACGUAUGGAGAUAUCUUCAUCAAAUAAUUAGCUAUAUUACCUUGAGAAUUAUUUUACUAUAAAUACUUGGUUCAUUUUUGUUUUGUUCUCUUCUGUUUGUUUUGAGAUGGAGUCUCGCUCUGUUGCCCAGGCUGGAGCACCGUGGCGUGAUCUCAGCUCACUGCAAGCUCCGCCUCCUGGGUUCACGCCGUUCUCCUGCCUCAGCCUCCCGAGUAGCUGGGACUACAGGCGCCCGCCACCACGCCCGGCUAAUUUUUUGUAUUUUUAGUAGAGACGGGGUUUCACCUGUGUUAGCCAGGAUGGUAUCCAUCUCCUGACCUCGUGAUCCGCCCACCUUGGCCUUCCAAAGUGCUGGGAUUACAGGCGUGAGCCACCGAGCCCAGCCAAUACUUUGUUCAUUUUUAAAGGAAUUUGUUGGCUUAUGUGAUCGUUGUAAGAGUUGGUACUUCCUCAACCUUUUCAGUAUUUUCUGGGCCUCCGAUUUUGUAAAAUAACAUAGCAUUAAUUCAUGAUGGCUUUGUGAAUAUAAGAGGAUUCAAGAGAGUUCGUGGAAGUUUAGGGAAACUUCAUAAACGAAAAACUGGAAGUAGCUCAAGUCAGCCUCAGUAAGGGCAAAAUAAAUUGAUAUACCUAUUCAGCGAAAUACUGCACAGCUCUGAGAACCAGUGAGUCAAUUUUGUAUGCCCUGUUAAAGAGUCGUGCCUAAGAUAUAUUUUUACGUUACAAAAAUGUAAAACUGCAAAUAGUAUGAGAGCGUUUACGUAAAGAUCUUUAAAGCUAUAUGGAUAUAUAAACAACAAACGUGCAGUGAAAAAUUUUGAAGGAACCAUUAACAAUGAUUAUUUAUGGGGAAAGAAGCUAGGAAAAAUGAUUAUUUAAAUUUAAAUCAUUUAAAUUCUCAUAUUUUCAUUUCCUAUUUCGUGAAAGUGCUUUAUUUUGUUUCUUCCUGUUUCUCCCACACUCACAAUGAGCAUGUAUUGCUUUUAUUAACUAAAUAGUUUUUUAAAAAGUCCCUUUUAUUUAGAAAAUAGUGUAUAGGAGACUCUUAGUGUCCUCCAUAAUCUUUUUGAAUGAGACUUCAUAAUCUCCUAAUUUACAAUGAUUGUAAGAUGCUUUAGAGAAAAUACCACAUUGUUCUAGUUUAACACUCCUAGUGAUGAAUGGGUCACUUCAUUGAAUAAUUUUUUUUUCUAGUUUGAUUUUUAUCGUUUGAUUCUGGAAAUGAUGACCCGAUCUGAACUUUAGCUGGCAUGGCCAGCAUGGUAUAAAAGGCUAGCACCGUAAAGCAUUUUGUUCCUUUUAGGGAACAAUAUAAUCUUUCACAUUAUUCCAAGAGAUUAUUUUUCAUGAUUUUUCCUAAGGUCCCAAAUAAUCUUAGUUUAAAAAUUAAAUUUAUGGGUGUGGCCCCUUAUGCCUAUAAUCCCAGCACUUUGGGAGGCUAAUGUGGGAGGAUUGCAUGAUCCAAGUAGUUCAAGACCAGUCUGGGCAACACAGAGAGAUACUGUCUCUAUCAAAAACAAAACAAAACAAAACGGUGGAUGUGGUGGCAUACCCCACCUGUGGUACUAGCUGCUUGGAGGCUAAGGUGGGAGAAUCACUUGAGCCCAGGAGUUCGAGGGUGCAGUGAGCCGUGAUUGUGUUGGUGAAGUCCCGCCUUGGUGAUAGAGCAAAAAUAAAAUAAAAUGAAAUGAAAUGAUAGAGCAAAAAUGAAAUGAAAUGAAAUGAAAUGAAAUGAAAUAAAAUAAAAUAAACAAUAAAAAUUAAAUUUGAUUACACAGUCUAGCAUUCUAUUCAUAUUUUUCUGAUAAUUUCUAAAAGUUAAAUUUAUCAUGCUCUGGAAAACACAUGGAUUUUAGAAUCGUCGACACUCAUAAAAAGGAACUCAUAGGGUAGUCAAUGGAAAUAAAUGAGCUCACAUAUAUAAAGCAUCCUGAAGACAGACUCAGUCCGUAAUUAGACUUUCAAUGAAAAUAUAUGUACAUAUUUGCUUUUAAAAAUAAAAAAUCCUUUAUAAUAAAGUUUCUACACAAUAAAAAGAUAAUGUGGCAAUUGAUAAAGAGACAUGAUUGAAAUUUUGCACUUUACUUUGACUUCUAGUAGUGUUACCUCCUAUAUUCUUCCAGUCUAUCUCUUUUUUAUUCCUUGCAAGUUUAUAUUUUCAACUUAGUCUUUAGAAGCAGCUGAUAAUGUCCGUCCAGUUUGUAUUGAGAUCAUAGAAAUUGGUAUCAGUUGAAACAGAAUAGAUAAGUUUUGAAAAAAAUUUGUUUCUAGCCUCUCAUCUAAUCUUCCAAAAAUAUUAAUGGGAUUUAGGUUUCUACUGUCCUUACUACUUUAAAUUUAAAUUAGUUUAAAUUGAAAUUAUGUUAAUAAUCCAAUAAACUUAAAAUCUUUGUAAUUUUAUGUAAAUAUAAAUGGAAGCCAAAAAUCUAUUACUUCCUGCCUCUUUCAUAUACUUUACAAUGUAAGUUUUAUGUAGUGCAUGUUAUUUCAUUAAGACCUAACAUAUUAAAUAAAUAUACUAAAUGGUGACAGUUUUAAUUGUUAUUUUUCAAUAGUUUGGUUUUUAAAAACAAUUCACUGAAACACAUUUCUGCUUAUGGAAAAUCAUCUAUGAAAACGAUAAGUAAAAUUGUUUUGUAAUAUUUUUGCAUAAGUAUAUACAUUGCAAAAAAACUGGAAAUUUAGUGUCUACAUGUUAGAUAUGAUUAUAGAAGUUGAUACUGGGUAGAGCUAAGUAGAUAUGGUCUUGGUAAGUAAUUUUGUGAUUUCUAAUAUAAGGUUAGAUAUAAUGCCUACCUCACAGACUUGGUGAAAAUAAUUUAUAAAGGAAAUUUUAUAAAGCAAUACUGUUUUAGGUGUUAAUCUUUUAUUUAGAAACAAAUAUUGAUUAUUGUUUUUAUCAGCUCCAUAUAUAUUUGACUGUGAAGACAUAUGUACUAUUCAUUCACAACAUCUAUUGAGUACUUGUUGUGGACUGGGGAUUGUGGCAGGUAGUGGCUUUUGUGAUAAAUAAGAUGAGGUUCUUAACACUGUUGAAGCUCAUAGUUAUUGAAGGAGAGGAAGCAUUGAAGCAAAUAAUUAUGGUACAAAAUUACAAAUGUUAUAAACAGGUGUAAUGGUACAAAGGAGGGGUGGAUUCUGCUGGGAUCUCAGGAAUCUUUCUCAGAGGCUGCUCCUUAGGCAAGAUAAAUGAGUGUUGACAUGACUAAAUGGUAGACUGUCAUAGGUAGAUUGAAUAUUAAGUAAACAUCUACUCCACUAUUAAAAGAGUACUAAAUGUAGGAUGAAUACUCAGUUCAUCAAAUGUUUAUUGAAAAGUCACAAUAGACAAGUUCCUUUACUAGCUACAGAAGAACUAGAACCCUGAAAAGAUCUGGUUCUUGCUCUUCAGGGGCUCACAGUCCUACAGGAGACAGAUGUGUGUUCCCAGAGGGCUGUGCCCCAAGGCAGAAGUUGAGUAAAGGUGCUGUAGAAACUUUGUGCCAUAUGACCAGGCCAUGGUAUCACUGCCAAAUCCCGAAGAGACAGCUGUGACUUUAUAAGUAGUUUGGCCUCUGGAAUACUGAGUUAAAAGUGGACUGGUCUAAAAGAGCAGAGAAAUUUUAAGAAAUCAGUAAUAUUUUACAAAUGCAUAUGUGAUAUAGUCUUGAGAUGUAAGGUCAAUUGAUGAGUAGGACACAGAUUAAAUAAUGGGAAGUUGACCCAUAGCCUGGUCAAAAUAUGUGUAAAUAAUAGGUAAAAUAAGUAAUAUUAAAGGAAUAUAAAUUAUAUCGCUAAAAAUACUAUUAGCUAACCCAGCUAAAAUAUCUUAAUUAGGUAUAUCAAUUAAAAUAUGUACUGGAAGAUCUCCUAUUGAUCUUUUAGUUUUUCCCACUUAAAUGAAGAGGCUCUUUCUGAUUGGCCUCUGUUCUCUCUGGUCAGCAUCUCUGGAUAUUGAGGAUUUCCCAUUCGGAGGACUAUAUUUAGCAUCCCUUUUCUCCUUAAUCCCAAAUAAUCACUCUUGGGAGUUAUAAAACCUGAGUGAAAAUAAGAACUAUAUUUUCUUUAAAAGUCGUUGGAGAUGGAUGCUCAAUGUUUGACUCUGUUUUAAGGAUUGUUUCUGGGUCUUUCUUUUUAAAUCAUUACCACACUUUAUCACCGUCAGACAAAAAUCACCUCAAUUUUAUUUUUAUUGCGCCUUUAAGAUUGUUUAUCUAUUUAUCCAUUCUUACUUCACUGAUUCUCAGAGUGGGAAGAAGAAGCAUCUUAACCCACUGUCAAGAGCAUACCUUCUGCCACGCCCUUGUUCUGUUAUUCCCUGCUUCCUGCAAGAGCUUGCACAGACACCCAUCGACUUUCUUUUGUAUUUUAAUUUCUUCCCAUUAGUCCUCAAAGAGGCUACAUCUCCACAUACUUCACAAAAGAGAAAUAAACAAAAGAGGAAAUCCCUCACAUUAAUCUCUCCUCAAUCUUUUCCUUUCUCUCUGUUCUCCCAUGUUUGAACAGUUGCUUUUACUCAAUAUCUCCAUUUAUGCAUCUCUUAGUAAUUCUCUGUCCACUGAAGUCUGGCUUCUGCUGGGAUCAUCCAGAGCUGUCUCAGGUUGCCAAGGACUUCCCAAUUGCCCAACUCAAACUCUCCUCAGGGGCUUGAUCACUGUACAAUCUAUGUGAUUAGCCAUCAUUUUUCUAAACUCCUCCCUUACCUCAUCAGCUACCACUCUCUUCUUGCCUCUGUAAUUUGUUUUUAGUCUUAGUUGUGUCUUCUGCCUUUAUCCUGCUUAAAAUUGUGGCUAUUUGUUUUAGUUCUGCAUUUGAUCUUCUCUUUGUGUACUUUGCACUCUCUUGGGCAAUCAUCCCCUUUCUUUGAUUAACCUGCCAUGUGAUGCCCAAAUCCAGAGCUCUUGUUUGGGUUUCUCCUGAGCUCUGUUCUCUUGGCUCCAUCUGGAUGGACAAGGCACUUCAUAAUUGGUGUGUUCCAAAUGUCUUACUGAUUUGUAUCUGUUGUCAACUAUAAUUGAGAUUGCUAUCUUUCAAAAUAAACAAAUUCACUUAAUUUUAUUAAGAUUAAGUAUUUUACACACUAAGUUUUGUUGGAAGAAGCGAAAAGAAAAGGAGUUAUGAUUGCUGGCCGUUUGGAUUGCUCAGUUUUCAGACUAAAUACAAAUUUGGGGCUUUAGAAUAGCAGGAAAUAAAAAUAAAAUUUUUUGAAACUAAUUGACACAUGAUAUUUUUAAAAGUCAAAGGAAACAAAUGACUUUAUUGGAGUUCCUUAUACUUAUAUCAUGGUGUAGUAUUUUUAUUUUAAAUAUUUGGCCUUGACAUUAAAUAAUAUAUGGGAAUAUGAGCUCUCAUAAUCUCAUAAUCUUUUCAGGGCAUAAAAUAAUCUGAUCAAGGCUGAUGAGGGUUAUAAAAAUAUAUUGUUAUAUUCUGUCUUUGAUGGCUUCUGGGUGAGUCUGAGAGAAAAUUCUCUCUUCCACUUGGGUACAUAGUUGAUCACCCAAACUCUAAGUGAUACCUGAUGAGUAAAGGUGUCAACCAUAAGGUUGCUCUGUGCCAGUGCGACUUCUGUUUGCUCUCAUUACCUUUCGCCAGAUUCUGCCUGAUAACCACAGAUUUCCAUGUGGCUCCCUCCUACUCCUGCUCCUGCUUGUCAACAAGCUCUCUCACCUGCGUCUACUACAUAGUUCCUGGCUGUAGAAAUGGAACCAAGUAGCUUUCUUUUGUAGAAUAAAUGGACUUAUCCUUAACCAGCAAUGGAUGAUUAGGAUGGGAAGGUAGGGUGGAGGGAUGUGUAUAGAAAGAAUGUGAAACUUGAAGUGCCCUUUAAAAAAAUGUUUUCUUGUUCAGCUCAGAGUAGAUCAACUUCUGUUUGGCCUGACUUUAUUUCCUAAAGACAGUAACUGGUCUCAAGACAUGUUUAAGAGUAAAAAAUGCUAGAAUCUUCUUACCUUAGAAGCCAGUUUGUGCUACUACUGACCUGUCAGGAGGAAUACUUCCAUGUCAGGAGGAAGGAAUAUAUCAGUAUUUGCCUUUAGGGAAUUUGCCUGGAAGAGUACAUUAAAAGUCAUUCCCAGUCAAGGCAAUUUGUUUAGAUGUAAAAGCAUAUAAGUUUUGUGUGUGUGUGUGUGUGUGUGUGUGUGUGUGUGUGUGUGUGUAUUUGAGCAGCAGCAUUUUACCUUGUUACAGAUUUUAACUAUCUUUCUGGAAGUAUUCUGUUAUAGUGAAUGUGACUGUAAUGUAACAAACAGAUUUUACAUGCUUUAAUGGAAUUUAAAUUGCUCUGUGAGGCUAAAUGAAAUAGUUAAUCUAGACUUUUGCCUGGGUUUUCUUACCUGCAUUUUGGGGGAGGAAUGUUCAAAGAAUAUUUUUUUAAAAAAGAAUAUCAUUCAAAAUACAAAAUAAUAUACUGCAAAUGAUAUUAAUAAAGGUCAUAUAACUACAUUAGAAUGAAGACUUGUAAGCCAGGCUGGCCUUGGAAAUAGUUGUGAGUCAGGCAGUAUGCUUUUGUUGCUUCUCACCCUUACUAUCUCUUUGAUGCCUUCUUAUCUGCCACUGCAGUGGUCAGUUCUUUCCUAUUCCGUUUGCCCGCUCAAAGCAAAAGGAAGAAGUAUUAUUGAUGUUUGCUAUGGGUCAGGCUUUUUAUUGGGUGUUUGACAUAUACUGUCAUUUAGAUGACUGUUAAAUUUGUGGCACCAGCUCUCCUUCCCCAGCUGCAAACUUUGUCUAUUCAAAUUGCCUAGUUAAGAUGUUGUAGAAUUUGUUUAUAUCACAUGAUGUUAUACACAAAUACCUGCUUACCAACCUACCUUCGUACAUACAUAUUGAUAAUCCUGUUUUAUAUAGAUAAGCAAUAUACUCAUGUAAUGUCAGUGAAAAGUGUGGCUUUUUAUGCCAGACUGCUUGAAGAAACUAAGGCUCCAGAGACUGUCACCUGCCCAAGGUCACAUAUUGUUAGUGACAUAUUGUAGUAAAUGGAUUUCGACCUAAGUGUGGCAGACACCAACUUUCACUCUUGCAAGUAUUUUUAACCACUUUUCUCUACCUUACGUUCCUAUUGUUCUAUUGGUGCAUAACGGAGUGAAAUAUUUCUCUUAAUUUUGUAUUUUUUGUGUUUUAUAUAUACAUAUAUUUUAUGCAAAAUAAAAAUAGUUUUCCCUUCGGACAAAUCUAAAAGUAUAUUUGAUAAUAGAGGAAGAAGCUCUGUAAUAUACAUUUAGCAUGUUGGUAAUGCUAGAUUUAUUUUUUAACUAAAGCCUGAAGGACUAGUAGAAUCAGAGAAAACCUUGUUUUUGCUUAGGUGUCAUUGUUUACCUUGAGAAUGAAAAAUAGAGCAAGUAGUUAGAAAGCUUAGAGGAGUUAAAAAUAAUAACCGUCAUGCUGCCCUAGAAAUAAAAGGAAAUGAUAAAGCAUAUACCUACUAGCUCAGUGAUCAGUGAUUUUAGCUAUUGGUGAGACAUUUAAUUUAGUGUAAAAAAUGGUAUGAGAUGAUGCUGUAAAAUGUAUAUCUGCAGACAAUUUUUGUUUCAUUAUUUAUUUUUAUAUACUGUCAACUGGCCAUGUUAAUUUCCACUGAUAAUACAACUGAAAUUAUCAUAUCAACCUGUAUUUCAGGGACUUUCUCCAAAUACACUCAGAGUUGUCUUAUAAACAAAACCUUAUUAUAGUCACACAGAGUUUGAAAUGUUAAGGCUAAUUUAUGAGAGCAGUUUGUCUGAAUAAGCAUUUAGUCUAGGAAAGGAAUCUUUCCUCUUAAAGAUAUAGUAAGUCUUCUCUUUCUACUCCUAAGCCCUCUAUUUCCCAUGCCUGGGGUGGGUUGGAGGUAGAGAAAGCACCUUAAGCUAAGUCAGUUCAAGAUCAUAAAAGCUAUGAAGAAUGACAAUCCUCUGAAGCUUUUCUGUAUUAAAAAUAUCCUCCUUAUUCUCUUACCCUUAUCUUUGCCCUAGUUCUUUGCUGAAGAAUGCCAUAGUUUCUUCAGUAUUUGUAGAGUUUAGGAGAAUGUGGACCAAUAUUUAUUUAUUUUUUUUUUCAGGACUUAGGUUAUCUGUGAUAGGAAAGUUAGAGUAUAAUCUAUGAGUAGAGUGUAAACACACUAAAGAAAAAGCUGUAGAGAAAAUAACUGCCCUAUUUAUUAAGUAUUAGUGCUGUUCUUCUGGUCAUUAAUGUCAAGCUAAUUUCUUUUCUGGCAGGCCCUUGUAGUAUUUUUUUUUUUUUUUCAUUAAAAAAGGUGGGUGACAUGAAAGCACUGAUGUCUUUUAAUAGUUAUCAUUGAUACACAGGCCUCUCAGGCUUCUGACACCACAAAGGCAAAGUUUCUGCUUUUGAGACACAUCUUUCUGCCUCUUUUGUCUCCUCUAAUUGAUUUUGUUAUUUUAAUUGAAAACACUGGUUUUAAAGAAUGGAAUUCUGUAGGGCCCUGGUUAGAGAAUAGCCACAAUAAAAAGUAUACAUGAAUUAUCUUAUUUCUUCUGAGUGGCACUGUUUGGCUGUGGUGCCUCUAGACCAUUCUCUACCACUUACUCCAGUUUGCACUUGAGGGCAGAUUUUUCUCAACGGUACUAGUAGGUGCAGUAAUGGAGCUGGCUGAUGCUAUUGGAAUGGUGCUUGAACAGGAGGAACUUUUUUAUUAGCCAUAUCUGUAGUUCUGAUCUUCCAGGAAGUUAGCUAGUUAUAAUAAUUCCCUUGGCUUAAAAAGAUCAUAUUAGGUAGGAAAUCUUCCUAUUGAAAAAGAUGUUAUUCUGUAGGACUAAUAGCUAAAUAAUAAGCUAAUAUGAGUAAUGACACUACUUUGGAGAGUGUCAGUAAUACCAAGUUUUUCAAGUGGCCACUCUCUGGGUCCCCUUCCAUUGUGUGCAAGUGCCAAUUAACAGUUUACCUGUACUAGCUACCCACUCACUAGCAAGUACAAGAAAUUAACUCCUCCCAGGACAAAACAAAUUACUUCCUUAAACUGCCAGAUCCAACUACGAUGAGCAGAGCCGUCUAAUAAGCUCUUAUGGACUGAAUGUCUACUCCCCAAAUUCAUAUGUUGAAAUCUUAACUCCAAAUAUGAUGGUAUUAGGAGGUGGAGCCUUUGGGAGGUAACUAGGUCACAAGGAUGGAGCCCUCGUAUAUGAGAUUAGUGCCCUUAUAAAAGGGACUCCAGAACAGUCUGUUGCCCCCUUUCUGCCAUAUGAAGAAACAAUGAGAAGAGGUCAGUCUGCAAACUGGAAGAGAGCCCUCACCAGAACUUGACCAAGCUGACAUUCUGAUCUCAGCCUUCCAAAACUGUGAGAAGUAAAUUCCUGUUGUUCAUAAGCCACCCAAUUUAUGGCACUUUGUUAAUCGCAGCCUGUACUAAGACAGGAGCACCAUGAAUUGACUUGAAACAUGUGGGAUACAGCCUUUAUUUAAGCUGUUAUUGAAAAAGCAAGAGAGAACUUAAGCCACACUGUGACAGAGACUGUCACAAGCCGUGGAGGGAGCAGGAGCGGUAGACUGGCAAGCUAUAAGCACUGACAUCUACUUUUCCUCUCCAGAGGGGCUCUGCCAGGAAGUUCCCAACCCUUCCUACUAAAGCUUCUCCUUCUCUGACAUAUCCCAAAUCAACUUGGACUUCUCUAUCCCCAUGCCCUCCUUUAAAAAACAAAAAAUCCAUUUUCCCUUUUGGAAGCAAUAGCAUCAAUAUGGAUGUAAAUCUUACUCUAACUUGGCAGUAUUUUGACGUACUUAAGGCCUCAGAUUCCAGAGCCAGGUUGCCUGGAUUUGAUUCCCAAAUCUACAAUUAAUACAUAAGUGAUUUGGGCAGGUGAUUCAAGGUCUCUGUGCUUCAGUUUCCUCUGUAAAUAACCUGUGUGCACUUUGUCUAGAGAAUUAGUUGAGUUGGUAUUUGUAAAGCACUUAAAACAAUACCUGCCACCUGAUAAGCUCCUUUUCAGUGUUUGCCAUCAUAAUGAUUAUUAUUACUUGAAAUGUAAUUCUAAUGACAACGUUCAUUCCUUCAAUAAAUAUUUAAUAAGAACAUACUUUGUGCUAAGCAUAGUAUUCUGUCUCAUUUCCAACAGGCUCCAUACUAUGAGUAAGGCCAGACACUAACUAUAAUAUAGUGGUUUGAAUUCUCGUUACAAUACUAUGUUUGAAAUAUAAGAGUGCAAUUGGCUUUUAGCUAUAUAUUUUAAAAGGUUAGAUAUGUAACUUGGGCUUGGGUGGUAUUGCCCUGAAUAUCUGGGUACUCUUUCAAAGUGCCAGCAUUAUAUUUAGUUGGUCCUAAAAGGGAGAGCCUGGUGGCCCUCUCCUUGGGUGGCAGAACUUAUGUCUUGUCUAUGCAGUUGCUCUGCUUCCUUGAGACCCACUGAUGGAAGGGUUAAGACCUGCUUGGCCAGAAAGGGAAGGGCCUAAUUUUCUUGCUGCCCACAGACUAUUAGAACACCACCACCUUACUCCCAUUCUCUUACACUGCUUUGCAACACACACUGUAUGUUUGCAGUUGUCCUUGACAACAUUAAUACUUACUUUGAUUUUAUUUAUACGUUUGCAGUCUUUUCCUCUGUGUAAAGGUGUAUUCAUUUAUGGAGAAAAAGUGCCUACUACUAAUUCUAUUCCCAGAACUAAGUAGACUAAUUUAUACUGUACUGGGGAGACAAAAAGGUAUUAAAACUUUUUUUUUUUAAAAAAAGCAAGGACGAGGGGGAAGUUACAGAAAAUUGUAGGGAAACAGUUUUCAAAAGUAAAUGUGGCCUCUUCCUGGUGUUGCCUUUGUCUCAUCCUGUCCUUUAUACAUGAAUUCCAGAGGUUCUUAAAGAACUAGGCCGUAAGACUCAUUCUUAGAUUUUAUACUGAAAUUGAUUACCUCAUCAGCAUGCCUGAUUAAAGUGGAAAGAGGCUGGGCACGGUGGCUCAUGCCUGUAAUCCCAACACUCUGGGAGGCUGAGGUGGGCGGAUCACCUGAGGUCAGGAGUUUGAGACCAGCCUGGCUAACAAGGUGAAACCCCGUUUCUACUAAAAAUACAAAAAAAUUAGCCAGGCUUGGUGGCACGUGCCUGUAAUCCCAGCUACUCAGGAGGCUGAAGCAGGAGAAUCGCUGGAACCCUUGAACCCAGGAGGUGGAGGCUGCAGUGAGCUGAGAUCGUGCCAUUGCACUCCAGCUUGGGCAACAAGAGUGAAACUCCUUCUAAAAAAAAAAAAUUGAAAGAUAUGGUUCUAGAUGCUUAAAAAAAUUGAGUGGAAUGAUAGGCAUAUAUUAGGCAGAAAAGAGGAACAAUGAAGGCCAAAGUAGACAUAAGGACAUGAAUAGUCCCAUGGCUAUAACUGUAUUUGUGACAAUCACAUGCCCGCAGCAUAUACAUUGGUGUCACUGUCUGUCUGUGCAGUCUUUCCUUUAGAAAAGGUUAAUUACAGCCUUUCUUUGCAUCAUGGACACCUUUGGUGGGAAUCUGCUAUACCCUAUACAACUCUUCUCAGAAUACAUUUUUAGAUGCAUAAAAUAAAAUAUAUGUUAUUUAAGAGGAAACCAGUUUUACUGAACUCAUUUAGCAAAAUACUUUAAAAUUUGUGAUGUUAUUAUAUAUUUGUUUCUUCAUAAUAUAUUUAAAUGUAUUAAGAUGAUCUAAUAACACUGGGCCUAUAAACAAUCAUAGUUUCAAAGUAGUGUAGUGUUGAAGGUAAAAAAUAUUUCAAGAUAUGUAAAACAAUGGGAAUGUGAUAUGAAAAUAAAUCAGAUUUCUGUUGGUGACCAAGUCAUAGAAUUUAAAAUAAAGCAUAUUUCCCUACAUGUCCAGAAGCUAAGCAAGCUAAUUACUCAUAUCUGUUUAUACUUCUCAUGUUAUUUCAUCUAAAAUGCUUAUAUCCAUUGAGAUAAAGAUUUAAGUGAACAAAGUGGUUGGACAGUAAUUCAAAAGGAUCUGGCAGAUAGUUUGCUCUAAUCUCCUUGCUAUUCUUUUCAUUAGGUUACAAAAAUUUUAGUUUUCUGUUACUGUUCUAAUCUACAAGAAUACUUGUAGGUUAAAGUGAGUUUUCAGCUUCAGUAAUUUUUGUUUACAUAAUAUAUUUUUGUGGUUAAUUGUUAGGUUCUUUUUAUCCUUUGAGGUAAUAUGCUCACAACCUGUAGAUUUGCUUAUUUUGCCAACACUUUCAGACCUUCAGUCCUCAUGCCUCCUGACAUCUGGAAUUUCUCCGGGUAUAUUUUAUUUCCAGUUUCUAAAUGCAAUGAACAUAUUCAGACAUAGUAAGAAGGAAAAGGCCUAUGAGUUACGGGUGAUUGCUUUUAUGUAUUAAUGGUGUCCAUGGAGGGUCUCAUUAACACACACAGCAUGAGGAAUUUUUGCAGCUACCACGUAGAGCUGAAAAAUCCAACCACAGAGUAGAUUUGAUUGUUUAUGUCUCAGUAUUUUUGUUUGGAGCUUUAGAGGACAUUAACAAAACUUCUUGGGACAGGUGGAAUGCCAUAUGGCAUAGGGACUGGACCACUGCCAUAGCUUUAGAGAUUUAUCAAAGCUUCUCCUUCUAGUGGGAAUGAUAUGAGUCUCUUGGACUGCUUCCAUUCAGUGAUGACAUUCAUGUACAGAUCAGCAACAAAGGUACUUUAAUAACAAAACAAAACAGUAACUAUCUCGAAAGAGAUUUCUUGCUUUUGAUAGGGACUGAAGGAGAGCAUCUUUAUUAGCAGGAUAUUUAUUGGAUUCAAAACUUUUUUAUACUUACUAACUUAUUACAUAAAAUUCAUACAAAUACUGUUGUGCAGUAAUUUGAGGGUGGGUUGGGUGACGUAGUGGUUUCUAUGCAUUGAAUACUCCUAAAUUCAGAUUUUAUGCCUUCUGAACACACAAAUGCACACACACACACACUUUUUAAACAUCUAUGGGUAGUUCUGAAUGGUGGCAUUACCUCUGAGUGGCAGUGUCUGGGGUCUGCUGUAGGUAACAACAGAAGUCAGGUUUCUGUUGCACUUGUGACAUUUAUAGCAAACUUCCUUUCCACAGUGUUUUUUGACCAACUUUGAGGUGGGGUGGGAAGAACUGCUUUUGUAGUACUGGUUGCUACAACUGCUUCUAAUGAUCUCUAAGUAGUAGUGAGACCAGAAGCUCUAGAGAAGAAAAAGGCAAGGGAAGUUCCUUUCAAUGCUUGAGAGAGAAAAUGGAUUGCAUCCUUGUUUAAUAGAAUAUGGAGAAAUUGAAUAUAAUUGUCACUGACUUCAAAUUAUCAAUAUAUAUGUACUUUGGAAUACUACACACAAUUCAUUCUGUACAACAUAAUUUUUGUAAAUGAUGAUACCUUUCAGGGUGUCAUUUUAGAUGGAAAUUGGCACCUUAAAUAUUUUAAGGUGAAGAUUAAAGAAUAUAGAAUAACAUUUGCUUAUUGACUCAUUUCCAUUAUUUUCCCCCCUAUUUCUCUUUGAUUCUUAUGAUAUAAUUAUAAUUUUUCUCUAGAGCACCCUGGAGUAUUCUUUGAUUCUUCAUAGCUGCUCAUAUAUCUCUAAUAAAGUAGUAAACCAUAGUAUGAAAAAAUUAUAUUUCAUUGAAUAUAAAAUAUAAUAACUACUACUUAUGGAUACUUUCUAUUUCCAUAAAUGAGCUGGAUAACUUAUAUUGUCCCUAUUAUUGUGACGACAGUGCAAACUAGGUGUUAUUAUUUCCAUUUUAUAAAUGCAGAAAAUGAGACCAAGAGAAAUUAAAUAACUUCCCAAGUUCUUACAAAUGUACCUAACAACUGGCACAACUGGGUUUUAAAAAGCCGUUAUCAGUUAAAUUCCAGAGUGUAUGUUCUUUCUUUUAUGCCUGAAAUAUUUGUCUUUUGUUUUAUGUCAGAUAUUUCACAGGGAUUCAUAGUUUCUUGAUUGAGGCAUUUUGCCCCUUUGAGUUAAAGGGUCUCGAUGAACUACAAAUAUGCCUUGUGGAAGACUUAACAACAACAACAACAAAAUGAGAGAAGUCACACUGCUAAUGAGAAACAAUGUGUGAUCUAGGAAAAUGCCAACCCAACUUCUGACUUUGAUAAAUAAACUGAGAAACUCUAUCUUGACCCCAAGCUGAGUGCUUUCUUGAGAUUUCCAAGGUCUGAGGAUUCUUUUGAGUGGAAUGCAUCAUGGAGUUUUCGGGGACUGGGCUCUGAGGCAACCUGGCUCCUCUACAACCAAAUUCUUUUGAGACCUUGGGACAGCUUCUGCUCUUCUUAGUUUUCAUAGGACCAAAGAAGUGGUAAAUACCUGAAGGUAAUAGAAACUAGAAAACAAGCUAUGGAUUUAGUUUCAUUAGCAUUAUUAUUAGCCGGGUAAGUGGGAAUCCUGUUCCAGAGUUCCACUGAGCAUACUGAGCCAUUGAGUCCUGAUGAUGUUAAAGUGAUGGACAGUUAGAUAGAUUUGAUUAUACUAAGAAUGGCACUAGGAAGAAAAAGAGUAAGAGUCUUCAUUUUAUGUAUCAAUUCCAUGGACUUAUUCCCUCUUCUGACACUUAGGAAAGAUCAUUUUAAAACCUCUUUUUAUGUUUUUUAUUUCUUUUUAUGCUUAAUUCUUUUUAUUAAAGUAAGAAAUGGCUGCAUAUAUUGAAAUGUUUAUUCUUAAAACUUUUGAAGCCCAAUAAUUUUAUUCAACACUUGUUCUAUAUGUAAGCAAGGUUUGAGCAUAUCUAAACUGACAGAUGAGCUAGCUACAAAAUUUAUAGCUAUUUAUUUUAGCCGUAAGAAGUAAGCAGAAAUGUGGAAACAAUGGUAAGAAACCCUUAGUAUACUUUAUUAUUGUGUUAGCUUUUAUCAUGCCGUUGAAAAUAGUUACGGUCAACUUUUUGUUAUUGUUUGUGGCAUAAAACUAGAUUAAAUGAUGCUGGUCAUUUGUUUAGGUUUAUAUAAAACCUGCACAUUUAUCUUAGUAUCUGCUUCCAAAAUUGGAAAGUUCAAGUUUUUGUAUUUUAGGGCAAGAGAACCUUCAUUUAUUCCUCUUAUUGGUCAUUUGAGUUUAUAUUCAUUGCUGUGCUUCCAACUAGUAGCUAUAUAUGUGGGGCCAGAGCUUCUCCAUCAAGCUGGGUGCUCAAAUACAGGAUUUACCCAUUUGUUAAAUUAUGAUUCAUCUGACAUUAUUUAGAACAUGGUAAUAAUGAACAAGACAGGGAAGAUCCCUAUUCAUGGACAUUACUUACAUUCUAUUAAACAAACAAAUAAGAAAAUAGCAGAAUAGUGAUAAGUAAAAUGCAGAUAUAGGAUUAUUCAUUAGAAGCGUGUUUCAUGUUAUGUGUUUGGGGAAAUAUUAUCCAUUCUUAUUUUAGAAAGUCACAUGAAGAUAUUGCUAUAUUUAUUCUCCAGCCAACCACACAGCAGAGGAAAUUAGGCUCAGUGAUGUUAAAUCUUUCAUAUUAAGUGGCUCCUAAACAUAUGUGCAAGUUGCCUAGUGGCAACAAAAACAAUAUAGUAAUAAGAACAUCAGGUAAUGUAGACUCCUAAUUAUAUUUAAAUAGGCCUAUGUAUUGUGAUAAUAAUGUAAUAAUGGUAAAAUAACAUAGUAAUAAUGGUAUAGUAAAAGUAUAGAAAUAUGGUAUAAUAUUCGGUGGUUAUAAAAAUUAAUAUCAUUUUCCUUGUUCCAAUAGAAUCAAGUAAACACUGUAAUGUAUGUUAUUUUAAUAUUGCUAGAUUUACUUUAAGGAAUCAUAUUUUUGUAUCCAGGAAACAGCAUAGAAACCUAAUAUACAGUCUGUCAAAUUUUUUCUCAAUUUAUAAAAUGAAACACAUAUUCCAUAAACAGCCAAAAUGAAUUUUAAAAAUAGGCUUUGUCAAUAUAUACGUGUGAAUGCAUGAAAAGUAAUUAGAAAGUACAGUCAUUUCAGCACAAUUUUAUUGUAGGCUUAUGUCAUUUUAUUGUGCUUCACUGUAUUAUGCAUUAGGUUUGUAGCAACCCUGCAUUGAGUAAGUCUGUCAUCACCAGUUUUCCAACAGCAUGUGCCCACUUCAUGUUUUUGUGUCACAUUUUGGUAAUUCUUGCAGUGUUUCAAACUUUCCUUUUUGUUACAUAUGUUGUAGUGAUCUGUGAUUAGUAAUCUUUGCUGUUACUGUUGUAACUGUUUCAGGGCACCACAAACCUCACCCAUGUAAGAUGGCAAGUUGAAUUGACAAAUGUGUGGUUCUGACUACUCCACUGACUGGCAGGUUCCGGAUCUCUUUUCCUCUCCUCAGGCCUCCUUAUUUGCUGAGACACAACAAUAUUGAAAUUAGGCCAACUAAUGACCCUACAAUGGCCUCUAAGUGUCCAAGAGAAAGAACGAGUUAUGAGUCUCUCACUUUAAGUGAAAAUCUAGAAAUGAUUAAUUUUAGUGAGGAAAGCAUGUAAAAAAUUGAGAUAGUUCAUAAGCUAGGCCUCUUGUACCAGUUAGUGAAGUUGUAAAUUCAAAGGAUAAGUUCUUGAAGGAAAUUAAAAGUGCUACUCUGGUGAACACACAAAUGCUAACAAACUAAAGCAGUCUUAUUGCUGAUAUGGAGAAAGUUUGGGAGUUCUGGAUAGAUCAAACCAGCCCCAACAUUCUCUUAAGCCAAAUCCUAAUCCACAGCAAAGCCCUAACUCUCUUCAAUUCUGUGAAGCCCGAAAGAGGUGAGGAAGUUUCAGAAGAAAAGUUGGAAGCUAGCAAAAGUUAGUUCAUUCCUGACAGCUUCAGGAAAUAAGCUGUUUUCGUAACAUAAAAGUGUAAGGUAAAGCAGCAAGUAUUGACAUAGAAGUUACAGCAAUUUAUCCAGAAGAUUUAGCUAAAAUAAUUGAUGAAGGUGGCUUCACUAAACAACUGAUUUUCAAGAUAGAUGAAACAGCCUUGUUUUGGAAGAAGAUGCCGUGUAGGACUUUGAUAGCUAGAGAGAAGUCAAUGCUGGCUUCAAAGCAUCAAAGGACAGGCUCACUCUCUUGUUAGGAGCGAAUGUAGCUGAUGACUUUAAGUUGAAGCCAAUGCUCGUUGCCCAUUCCAAAAAUCCUAGGGCCCUUAAGAAUGAUGCUAAAUCUGUUCUACUUGUUCUCUGUAAAGGGAACAACAGAGUCUGGAUGACAGCACUUCUCUUCAUAGCAGAAGUGUCCAAUCUUUUGGUUUCCCUAGGCCACACUGGAUAAAGAAGAAUGGUCUUGGGCCACACAUAACAAACACGAACACUACCAACAGCUGAUAGGCUAAAAAAAAAAUUGCAAAAAAAUCUCAUAAUGUUUUAAGAAAGUUUAUGAAUUUGUGUUGGCCAUAUUCAAAGCUGUCCUGGGCUGCAUGCAGCCUGUGGGCUGCAGGUUGAACAAGCUUGGUUUAUAGCAUGGUUUACUAAAUAUUUUAAACCCAUUGUUGAGACCUACUUCUCAGAUAAAAUUUUUUUUUUCAAAAUAUUACUGCUCAUUGAAAAUGCACAUGGUCAUCUAAGAGCUCUGAAGGAGAUGUAUAAAGAGAUUAAUGUUAUUUUCAUGCCUGCUAACACAACAUUUAUUUUGCAGACCAUGAAUCAAAGAGGAAUUUUGACUUUCAAGUCUUAUUAUUUAAGAAGUACAUUUUGUAAGGCUCUAGCUAUCAUAAAUAAUGAUUCUGCCGAUGGCUCUGGGAAAAGUAAAUUGAAAACCUGGAAGGGAGUCACCAUUCUAGAUGCCAUUAAGAACAUUUGUGAUGCAUGAGAACAGAUCAAAAUAUCAACAUGAACAGGAAUUUGGAAGAACUUGAUUCCAAUGCUCAUGGAUGACUUUGAGGGGUUCAAGACAUAAGUGGAGAGAGUAACUACAGGUGUGGUAGAAAUAGCAAGAGAACUAGAAUUAGAAGUGAAACUUGAAGAUGGAACUGAAUUGCUACAAUCUCAUGAUAAAACUUAACAGACGAGGAGUUGCUUUUUAUGGAUAAGCAAAGAAAGUGGUUUCUUGAGAUAGAAUCUUCUAGUGAAGUUGCUGUGAACACUGCUGAAGUGACAACAAAGGACUUAGAAUAUUUAAUAAACUUUGCUGAUAAAGCAGUGACAGGGUUUGAGAGGAUUGACUUCAAUUUCAAAAGUUCUACUGUGGGUAAAAUGCUAUCAAACAGCAUCAUGUGCUGCAAAAAAAUCUUUCAUGAAAGGAAGAGUUAAUUAAUAGGGCAGACUUUAUGGUUUUCUUAAGAAAAUUGUUACAGCUACCCCAACCUUCAGCAUCCAUCACCGUGAUUAGUCAGCAGCCAUCAACAUAGAGGCAAGACCCCCUAGUAGCUAAAGGAUUACAACUGGCCGAACGCUCAGAUGAUUGUUAGCAUUUUUUUAGCAACAGAGUAUUUUUAAAUUAAGCUAUAUACUUUGUUAGACAUAAUGCUAUUACACAUUUAAUAAAGUACAGUAUAGUGUAAACAUAACUUUUAUAAGGACUGGGAAAACAAAAAAUUUAUAUGACUUGCUUUAUUGCUGUAUUAAUUUUAUUGUGGUGAUCUAUAACAAAAUCUGUAAUAUCUCCAAGGUACGCCUGUAUUUGGUUCUGUGAUUCAGUAGAAAAAUGCUUGCUGGUUCUUAAAAGUAUGUAUAUGUCCCCUAGCUAGUAAGAAAUAGUAAUGUGAAAAGUAAUUAGCAUAUUUGAGCACAUGGUAUUUGAUAUUUUCUUUUUUCAAAUAUCAAGUUAAUCUCAUUUUUAUAAUAAAACAAAAAAUGAAUACCCAGGAAAAGGCACACAGGGAAUGUGGAAGCCAGGAUUUAACUUCCUGCCCUCUGACAACAAGUACCUUGUAAGCUGUUCCCACUCUUUGUGACAUAAAGCUGCCAACCCCAUCUUCCUGUCAUAUCUGAUGUUUCUAUAUGUGAAUAAAAGAAAUGUCACAUGUACCCAACUCUAAGGGAACAUUUUAGGGCAAAGGCUUGUCUUGGUAAAUUAAACUUGUGUGUUAUCUUCUAGGGCCUUAAUAACAAUGGUUCUAGUUGCUUCAUGGACUAAAAGAUCUAUACAUGUAGGUAAAUAUCAAAGCUGACUAUUCUUUGAUUUUAUAUUCUAUUAUUCCAGUUGAUACAGUUUUUAAAUUUGGAGAUGUUUAAAGGACAAAGUUUAAUCAUUAUAAGAGAGAAGGUCAAAGGAAAGGGAAUCGAUUUUUCAAAAGUGGGGAAGCCCGGGCACAAUGGCUAAUGCCUGUAAUCAUAACACUUUUGGAGCCUGAGGCAGAAGGAUUGUUUGAGGCCAGCAGUUCCAGACAAUCCUGAGCAACAUAGCAAGACCCCAUCUCUACAGAAAAAAUUUAAAAAAUUAGCUGGCAUGUAGUAUGCAUCUCUGGUCUCAGCUACCCAGGAGGAUGAGGUAGGAGGAUCACUUGAGCCUGGGAGGUCAAGCCUGCAGUGAACUGCGAUAGCACCACUGCACUCUAGCCUCGAUGACAGAGCAAGACCCAGUCUUCAAAAAUAAAAACAAAAAUGAAAAAAUAAAAGCAGGGCAUUGUGAAACUCACUAAUCUACUCAAGUGUUUGUUGUGCUGAUUUUAAACUUUUUUUGACCAUUUUGUUAAGAAUAUUUUUGUGCAGUACUUUUUCAAGAUUUCACAUUUUCCCUAUCUUUUUUUUCAUCAACAUUUACUGGUAAACUUGAGGACUGGUAUUCAUCCAAUGAAGUGUAUAUUCAGGAAGAAAAGAAUUAUGCAGAAAGAAAGGUAUUAAGGGACACAGAUUUUCCUUUCUUUCUUAUACUACAUGUAGAAAAUAAACUAGAUUAAGUAAAUGGCAUUUCAUACCUGGAAGAUCAUUGAGAAGCUAUAGGUAAUAAGAGAGUCCACACUGUGCACCAUUUAUUUUUUGUUUAUGGUUCGAAUGGGUUUAAAUGAUUUUUACUCUUUUAGUUAUUUUGAAAUGUACAAUUAAUUAUUGUUGAUGGUAGUUACCCUUUUGUGCUAUCAAAUACUAGAUUUUAUUCAUUCUAUUAAACUAUAUUUUUGUAUCCAUUAACCAUCCUCACACUCACAGCUUCCAUUACCCUUCCCAGUCUCUGAUAACCAUCAUUCUUCUCUCUAUCUCCAUGAGUUCAUUUGUUUUAAUUUUUUUAGCUUCCACAAAUAAGUGAAAACAUGAGAUUUGUCUUUUGGUGCCUGGCUUAUUUCACUUAACAUAGUGACCUCCAGGUUCAUCCAUGUGGUUGCAAAUGACAGGAUCUAAUUCAUCUUUAUAGUCGAAUAGUACUCCAUUGUGUAUAUGUACCACAUUUUCUUUAUUCAUUCUUCUGUUGAUAGAAAUCUAGGUUGCUUCCAAAUGUUGAUUAUUGUGAAUAAUGUUGCAGUAAACAUGGGUGUGCAGAUAGAUACCUCUUUGAAUACUGAUUUUAUUUCUUUUGGGUGUAUACCUUGUGUGGGAGUGCUGGAUCAUAUGGUAGUUCUAUUUUUAGUUUUAUGAUGGGCCUUCAAACUGUUCUACAUAGUGGCAUUACUAAUUUACAUUCCCACCAGCAGUGCACAAGGGUUUCCUUUUCUUCACAUCUUUGCCAGCAUUAUUGUCUGUCUUUCAGAUAAAGUCAUUUGAACUGGAGUGAGAUGUUAUCUCAUUGUAGUUUCGCUUUGCAUUUCUCUGUUGAUCAGUGAUGUUGAGCACCUUUUCAUCUACCUGUAUGCCAUUUGUAUGUCUUCUUUUGAGAAAUAUCUAUUCAGAUCUUUUGCCCAUUUUUAAUCAGAUUAUUGGAUUUUUUCCUAUUUUUGAUCACCUUAUAUAUUCUUAUUAUUAAUCCCUUCUCAGGUGGACACUUAGCAAAUAUUUUCUCCCAUCCUGUGGGAUGUCUGUUCACUUUGUUGAUUGUUUUCUUUGCUGUGCAGGAACCUUCUAACUUGAUGUGACCCCAUUUGUCCAUUUUUGCAUGGGUUUUCUGCCAUUGUAGGGUAUUACUCUAGAAAUCUUUGCCCAUUCCUAUGUCCUGGAGAGUUUCCCCAAUGUUUUCUUGGAAUAAUUUCAUAGAUUGAGGUCUUAGAUUUAAGUCUUUAAUCCAUUUUGAUUUGAUUUUUGUACAUGGUGAGAAAUAGGGGCCUGGUUUCCUUCUUCUACUAUUUAAAAAAAAACCUCCACAUUGUAGAUAAAAUUUAUAUUUCUUGAAAUAAUUUCUGAUCUUGUGAAUCCUGUUAUUUCUAAUGGAAUAUGUAUUUUUGCAUAAACAUAGAUUUCUCUUCAUAACAAACCUACAAUGGACUGUAUUUAUAUCUCUCCUACCCCCCAUAUUACAUUAUUACUAAAAAGUGUACAUAUUGUAUUACUUAGAAAUUAAAAGAAUAGACAGUCUCAUUGAACUUCAGUGAGCUUAUAGUUUAUAGUUAGGAAUGAUGGAGGUACUUGUGUUUUCUUCUUGAAUGUGGCUAAGCUAAGAUGGGGAAAACGCUGCCUGUUAUUGUAAGACCUUUUCCUUGGCCAUCUGCUUGCCCACAUUCUAAAUGAGUCAGAAAUGGAAGAAAGACAGUAAUUAGGAUGCUGUGUAAUUAAUCCUAAUCUUCUUGCAUAAAGCCGGAAUACAUAAUGCAACGAGGACUCUGAAAACAGCAGUUUUUUCUGAUUUUCCACUUAAUUUCUGAUAUAUUUCAAAAGAAAUCAUUUUCAGUUUAAUAGAGUUCAGUAUGUGCUUUCAUAAAAUGUAAAGGUUUUUAAUGGUACUAAGAAAUUAUUAAGUGCAUAUUGUAAGCCUAGUAUUCCAUCAGGGACUUAUUUAUGUUUGAUUUAUUGGCUUUAUAUUCUUUAUUGGAAAAUCUAGCCCACUUAAAGGAAUUCUUUUAAUGCUGAGUGUUAUAUGUAUAUCUCUUCUGCCUUGCAUGUUUUUCUUCGACCAUUUACUGCACAAGUAUUGAUUUCAGAAUAUCUUUCAGAUUCUUUCUCAGCAAUUUGAGUUUGUGCAUCUGUGCCAAGAAGGGAUUAUAUUUGUUUCCAUGCACAUGCUUUAUGGGACUCUGUUCCUUUUUUCAAUAAUUGUUUUACUAGAGUCAAUAGAAGGCUGGUGAAUAGUUUUUCAUACGGUAAUAGAAUUUUUUGAAGCAGGGAGAAUGUAAUCAUGAAAUUUAAGAAUAAGCAAACAAGGGCCAGAAGAUUUAGGCUGUAUAUUUCCCGUAACCACUCUGAACCUUGAAAUUCGGUAAUAUUUUUUUUGCAUUGAGUGAGGUAGGAGCUGAAAAUAUAAAACAUACAAUAAAAAUAUAGACUGUGGCUCUAGGCAGAAGGCGUGUAAAUAUGCCUGUGUGUAUGUAUGGUAAUAUGCAUUGAAUUAGGAGUCAGAAGACUAGGUUUUGACACUCGCCAGCUGUAGGAAGUUAUUAAACCUCUAUCUGCCUCAGCUUUCUGAUUUGUAUUACCUGCCUUGCCUGUCUCAUUUGUAAGUAUGCAUUGAGAUUAACUAUGUUAAAGGACUGAAACUUUUAGAGUUGUUCAGUUGUGAAAUAGUAAAAGUCUCUGUGGUUAUAGCCAGUUCACUGAUGAUUGUAGUAUUAUUCUAGUGAAACUGAGACCAGGGUCCCACGGUUUUAAAAAAUAUUCUUAUAUGAGUAUGUGUAUGUGUAUAAUUUUUCUUUAUGAUAUGGGGCAGGUAGUGAAAAUUGAAGUAUGCUAUUCCAUACAAAUAGAUGCCCAUGAGGAGGCUCACAUUUAUGAGAAGGGUUGAUGUUGACAAUCCUUUGAAAGAGAAACUCAGUAAGCAUUGUUAAUAUAUUUAACUUCACUGUAGAUACUUUUAGAACAACAGUUUGAAAUUUUAGAACAGAACAGUGAACGACAGAUAUUUGCUUGUGAUUUUCUUAAAUGUUACAAUGAUGGUAAGCUUCUUUCCUCAUAUUUUAUCUACAUUUUCUGGAUAUGUCCUGUGACUGAUUAGUUUUCAUUUACAGGACUGUUAUUAGCCCUAGUGUGUUUUUCUGAUAAUAUAAGAAACACCCCAGGAGGAAGAUUAUAUCUGCUGUUUUACUAGGGAUUGGAAAUGACACUGUUACUCCAGAAAUGCAUUCACUGUUGUUCUUUGAGUCUGGACAUACAAAUUAUAGUUAACUGUUUACCAAACUUGAGAAAAAGAACGAGUGUAUAGCCUCCAAACCACUGUGGUUGUAACCAGUAGAUUCAGGCAAUGUAUAAAAUUCAUACACUCUCAUAACAGUGUUUCUCCUUUAUUGGGUAGACACUAACUUAACGUUCUCAGCAUCUUUAGAAAGUUUACUAAGUAGCUCACAGAACGGGUGUGAGAGGCCAAGUGUGCACAAGUGAUUCAGUGAUUCAGGUGAUUAAAAUUGUGUAUUGUUAAUUAAUUUUUUUCAGGUAGAAAGUUGUUUUAGCAAUGAUUUUUUAAAGAAAUCACUUUUUAGGAAAUUAAUUUAUCAGAAAAAUAGAAUAAUAAUUUUAUUUCAUCUAAAGAGAGUCUGAGGUUUUAGAUGUCAUCAUCUAAUAAUGUUAAAUUUUGAAAAAGAAAAUUCAAGUUAUUAAAAAUCUUCCAAUGACUGCAACACUUCAGUAGUAAUAUUAAUGUUUGAGAAAAAGCCCUACUUCUAGGAAAUUAGAAUCUCCUGGGGCUUUUUAUGACCUAAACUCUCAGUUAUUCUUUGCUGGAAUUCUUACUGACUUCAUGUAUUGUUCAUUUGUCUAUAGCAUGUGGUGCAAUAGCAGUCCCUCAGCAGGUUACAGUUCUCUCUUUGCCAUACAGAAAAUAGUAGUUCUAUUACAUAGAUUAUCGGCACAGUGGUUUUUCCACCAUUAUACCAUGAGUUCUCUGCCAUUUUGCCAAUUUCAAGUUGAUUUUAAUUAAUUUAAUGGUAGGUUGCCUUUUAAUAAUGCUUUUAUAAUAUGACAUAUAAAACUCCACAUGAGCUUGCAACACAUUAGGUUAAAUGACAUAAACCAGGCACAGAAGGAUAAACACUGCCUGUUCUCACUCAUAUGGGAAAGCUUAAAAGUUGAUCUCAUAGAAAUAGAGAGUAGAAUAGUGGUUACUUGAGGAGGGGAAGGAAAGGGGAAGAAGGAGAUAGCCAAAGGCUGGUUAAUGGAUUUAAAUGUACAGCUAGAUAGGAGGAAUAAGUUCUAGUGUUCCCUAGCACGAUAGGGUGACUAUAAUUAGCAGCAAUGUAUUAUAUAUUUUAAAAUAGCUAGAAAAGCAGAUUUUGAAUGUUCUCAACACAAAGAAAUGGUAAAUGUUUGAGGUGAUAGAUAGCUGAAUACCCUGUUUGAUCAUUACACGUUGUAUACAUGUAUGAAAAUGUAACAUUGUACUCCAUGAAUGUAUAUAAUUAUUAUGUAUCAAUUAAAAUAAUAAUAAAAGCAAAGAAGAAAUCA